CUAGAUGCAGGUAACUUUACUUAACCUGACAAGUAAAAAUGGAUUUUAAGGAUCUACUCAUAGUAAGCUUUUCUGCAAAUAGAGUCCUUGAUUCUUGAUAAGCCUUCCCUUGAAUCCUUUUAAAACCAGCAUACCCUUGAGAGUAUUUUCUUUAGUCGGGUAAGUCUUGCUGAGUAAUUGCAUACUCAGGGUUUUAUUCCCUGUUGUUUUUCAGGUUAUAACUUUGUGCUGGUGUUGAUGGUGUUAAGUGCCGGUGGGCUCAGCCUUCUUAUAAGUCUAAGAAACUUUUCUAUACUUCUUAUUGAGGAUGGUCACUUGAGCUAGCAUAUAUUUCAAACUUAUAAUUAAUUUAUAACAUUUCAAAGUUUAUUUCUUUGAAUCACUAUUGUAAUCACUCCAAUAAACAUAAAAUAAAUUUGAUGUAACUGGUAGAAUUUGGUAAUAAGAUUUUCGCUGCAAAAAUGUUGGUGUGUGAUUUGUGUUUACUUAAUCCUGCGGUCCUGGUUGUAAUUGGUUUAUCCGGGGUCCUUGGGACACUCGGACAGAUCCUGUUAAGUUAUUUGGUGCACAUGCAUAGUCGUCUGAGGUCUUUAAGACAAGGACAGGUGCAUGUGAGCCCAAUAACUUGGGAGGUUCUGCCACUGGCUGGUAUCGAAGCAGGAUUAAGUAUAAUACGGUCACAUACGUAUUUUCAAAACAAAAGUUUUGGUUUUGAAGAACCUAUUUUCAACUAAACAGAUUGGUUGGUUUUGAAAUACAGAUUUGAAAAACUAUAAUGCUAGCGACAUCCUCUGUUAAGCCCUAAACUAAGGACUAUCAGGUGGCUUAUUUAAAAACCAUAACCCACAAUCGGGUGGAUAUUGCAUACAUGUGUAAUGUUAUUUUUAAGGCCAUUCAGUCUUGAAUGGAUCGACGCCCAAGGUAAGGUGAGAUGUGAGAGCAUGACCGAACAAACGUCGGUCUAGGGAAGAGUAUAAAAAGCGCUUGAUUAUAUACAUGUUCCACAUAUGUAUAUAUGAAGGCUGCGAUGUGGAGUACUUACUUUUCUGGAAAUUCAGUACCCCAUGGAUGUGUAUGGGUACACAGAUAUGGGAAUACUGAGAAGUGUAAUGUACUUGCAACGACGCACCUACGCUCAGGUAAGAAGGUGAGUUACCAUAAUGAGCUGCCCUGUGGUUAAAGUGUGGCAACGGCGCCUAUGCGUGGCUCGGCACUUAAUGAUGAGCUGGCCUCCAUAUAGAAAUAUAUGGAGUAUAAACUAUGAUAAACUAUCAUGUGUGAACUGCAUCAUGGGAAAAUUGGGUUGUGAUGAAAAUUUACUAACCUCGAAAAUGUAUGUGUAGCUGACGACUAGCAGAAUAUCGGGAAAGUUUUAAGUAUGCCACCAAGAUAGAACGCUAUCGCCACAGUAUGUUGGGAAAACUUGUGAGGACGAAUAGGACGAGCAUGCAUCCUGAUUGUUGCAUCAUGUUUGUCACCUAUACAUCCAAAAUGCUUCUCUCACCCUUAUUCCAGUAACCAGUGAUUGUAGAUAAUGUGGUGUAAUGUUGUAUCAUGAACCCUAAGGAAAUAGUUGUCCUCCGUUCCUUAGGUAAUCUAUUUAGGUGUUAUAUAUGUGCUUGCUCUUGUAUUUGAUGUGCCGAUAGAAGGUUGGUGACUUGUUUGCCUAAAUCGAAAACUAGGCCAUGGUCUUAUUUAGUGAACCAUGACCCAAAAUUUGAAUUUUCCGUUAUCCCUCCAUGACAGAACUCAUACAAAUAAAUAGUUAGAUAAUUCCUUUGUUGGACAUAAGAGGCAUUCGAACUCCAAAUGAGGAUCUUGGCAAUUAACUUGUCACUCCCUUCGUGGUCGUGUUUCCAUCCUAGAUCUUGCCCUUGCUCAGUUGAUGCAGGUUGAGGUCUCUAUUAUAUUCAGCCUCUCCUUGCGAUUACCUUGUCGCUUUAUCAACCUAACUUAGGAAAGACCUGUCCGAUCAUUUUCUUGAAUUUGAUGCCUUUGGUUUCCUCAUAACUAUCAAAGGCAUACCAACUUAAUCUUAUGAUUGUUUUCCCUCCAUAUCUAAUCAGAUACUAAUCCUUGACCUUGUGAUCUCUGCGAUGGGCAUAGAAAUAUGCUUGGGCUGAAGUAACAGUCUCCCAUCGUAUUCCUUUCAUCAAGUUUAGGCUAUGGCCACGUCUUGUUCAUUUUAUCGAGCCAUUAUCUAUUUGGCUCUCUACUUGUAACCAUUCUUACAAGUGGAAUCUAUUUUGUAUAUUGUCAUCUUGACUCAGUCUAUUGGUGUGGUGCGAGAUUUCUUAUUGGUUACAUCUGGUAAUGGCGUUAUGACUAAAAUUGAUGAUGCCACGACGAAACCGAGGGCCUUCUAUGUGUGCGCACACAUGGUUGUGCUGCUCGGCACGCGCUAGUAUCAUGGUUAGUAGUUGUAAUCCAUUAUGAGACUAUAUCAAUGUGUUAUCUUGGCACAAUCUGUUUUUGCUACGUAAGAUUCUUUAUUGGUGUCAGUUCGGUAAUGGUGUCAUGAUUAAGGACUUAUGGUGCCGCAACAAAACUGAGAGCCCCUUGUAAAUGUACACGCAAGGUUAUGCUGCUUGGCGCAUGCGGGUAUCGAGGUCUCUAGUCAUGAUCCAUUAUGGAACUACCCUAAUAUGUUAUCUUCCGUAGAUCUCCCUUGAAAUAGCUUCGAUGUUGUUUGUCGAAGAGAUCAAGCAACAUCUGUCAUCUCUAUUGGAUCAAAAGGGCAUACCACUUUCAUGUGUCGUCUUUUUUCUUUUGAUCUUGGUAGUGACUACCUAUACAAGUUCCCUUUACGUCCUUUGUGUAAAGGAGUUUGUUCAUUCGCUCUCUUAUUUAAUCCAUGUAUUCCCGAACCAAGUCUCUUCAUCUCGCAUGAAGAAACGGAUGAACAACCUGACCAAAUGGAUUUCUACCCAAGUGCAUGAUCACCUGGUGACAAAAGUGAACUCUUAACCCUUGGUUUGCUGAUGGAUUAUAAGAGGACUUACUCAAUGUCAAAAGUAGUUCAACAAGUUGGUUUUACUAACUUGUAAUUGCUUUGUGAACAAAGGUUGAGUCUAGAGAUCGUUUUGUCGAGUUAUCUAAACUCACCUUGGUUCAACCCACCCUAAAGAAAGCACUUACAAGAAUUGAGAUUAAGUCGGCCAGUAACCCCCUAGUCAUCGCUCUAGUCAUGCCUCGAUCGCCUCACGUGUGCUUUUCCAGCAUGUGUGAUCAAGUUGAGCCAUGAGUAGUGUUGGAUAAAAUGGACUGGUUGCGAAGGCAACAUCUUUAGAUCCUCCGCUGGUGAUUUGUCUCGAAUCUAUAUCACUUUUCAUGGACUUGGAUUUUUUGGCUAGCCACGGGUCAAUUGUGAUGUUAUUCGACAUUCACACCCAUCUCGUGUGCUAUGAAGUUACCGUGACCACUUGUUGGUAAACAUCUUUCUGUGUGUUUUACCCAAGAGGUUGCAUCUGAUUCUGUUUGGGUAAAAUCGCAUAUCUGUCGCUUGCUCAACAGACUCAAAUAAUAUAGUGUCAUCAGAAAAAGCAAACUGCACACAUGGAACCUUAUGUAUCCUUCUAGCAGACAUCGUCUCUAUCAUUGGAUAUCUCUAAAUUAGCCUAAGGCGAUACAUGUUAUGCCUACUAGAGAAACAACAUCCUGAGACACUCGCCUUUGCUUGGAACUGCCUUGUGAUUACCGCUGAUAUGGACAUAGGUUACAUUAUUCUCUACUCUUAGAAGUCUUUCGUUCCGAAUCUCGGGGCAAGAUUUUUUUAAGGGGGGAGGAUUGUAACACCCCAGGUGUUUAUCGUCUGCUCCACCACGAGUGCGGACUUUAACACGUGAUAGCGGUGAAUAGAAUAACAGUCUCUCUGUCUUAAUCUAUUUUGUCUAUCGCGAGUUCGACAUCGUUUUUAUUUAUCCAGGCUCUUCCUAAAUUUUCGUGAUGUUCGGAACAUAGUUGUUCUGAAAAUCGGUGCGUACGGUGAUUGUUUAAAAUUCAUCGCUCGCGCGAAUACGAAUUUGAAAGCCCGGCCCACUCGGAUGAUUUUAUUCCGAACAGAUUAAGAAGAACUCGACGACUAAGUUUUCGGUGUAAAAUAAUUUAGUCCUCUUUUGUCAUCCGUAACAUUGCGUCUACGGAUUUUUAAUUGAAUUGUUCUCUAAUCGAGUGUUCGAAUAGCGAACGGAAUUCGUCUGAAGUCAACUGGAUCAAAUGCAGAUUAAAAUACUGAAGCCGAAAUCCGUUUAAUUCGGUCCGUUGUUUCUUGCCUCGAUCUAAAUCUUCAAAAGUAAAUUAACGGUACGAAUUCAUCAGACUCCGGAGUAUUUAUCACAUCAAGUCCCGUCUAAAAAUUGAAGUCGAUCUCGUUUUGGUCCAAUCCAUUUAUACCUCUGUUAAACCUUAAUCCGAGUGCCCAAUAUAUUCAUAGGAUUUUGUAAACGAGGUAGAGAAAAAGACAUUUCUCGUUAAUCCUCUACAUAUCUAUCUACUUCUAUUUCUUUCCAACGUGAGCUGAUUUUCUUGAUUUUUGAAAAUAUCUCACCGUCUCUGUGUACUUCUGAAAUAUCCACCGCCGAACUGACCUCCUUAUCCCGUCGCUAUCUCUUGUCCCAUUCAGAUUUUUCAUAGCCGCGCUCUGGACUUCUCUUCUUCCACACGCGCCCUCAUCCUCUCCCUCCCUAGAAAAUAUCCUCAUGCCACGCCGCUUUGGAUCCAGGAUAAAAAUCCCACCGCCCAGCCUCUGUCUUCUCCUCCACCGCACCCUGAUCCUUAUCUACGCGCGCAGCUAUCCUCUACUGAAGCUCCAUCGUGUCGCAUCUCCAGCUCCCUGCGCAUGGCCGCCGAACUCAGCCCUGCCCUCAACACCGGCCAUCACCUGCUCCCUCCAAUGGUGCGUGCGCCCUCCCUGCUCCAUCUCCCUCGGCGCCGCGCUCCUCUGCUCCAGCCAGCCGAGCAGCUCGGCCGAGCUCCUUCCCUGCUCGCCUGGUCGCGCCCUGCUUCCAUGGCCACUGCGCACUUGCCCCUGCUCGCUUCUUCUCGCGCGCGCAGGCAUCUUGCUCGCUCAGCUUCCUUCCUCUCUCUUCCCAUGACCGAGCUCUCUCUCUCGUGGUGCCCUGGCCUCACCGGGAUCCUGGCCGCGCGCCCUUCCUGCUGCCACGCCCGGCCUACUCCCCUGCGCGCGCCUGCUUCCUGGCCGCGGUUUCUCCCUCCCCCGAGCUCGUUACCAUGGCCGGCGUACGACUUCGCGUUCGCCGAAGCUCCCUGGCCCGACUCUGCCCAGUUCGCGCCCUGCUCGCCUCUGUGUCACGCGCCGUAGCUUCCCCCUCCCAUCUCCCUCUCAUCUCCUCUAUUCCGUGUGCGCGCGUCUCUAGCUCAACUUGGAGCUCGUUUGGCCGCGGUCUCAUCCUGGCUCUCUGGUGCGCUGGUCCAGCGUCCUGCUUCCUGCGCGCGUGUUCUCUCUACGCCUUGCUGAAGUUCCGCGCAGCUCCCUUCUGUGCUCGCCCUGGUCCCGACGCGCGCUCACCUCUGUUCCUGUCGGGUCCGACCAUGGAGCUCGCAGCGACGCCCGCUGUUCUGCCUACUUGUGCUCGCCCCAGCACUCGUGCUUGCCCUCGGCUCGCAUUGGCGCUUGCGUGCCUGCUCGUCGUCACCGCUGCGCGCUCGCUCUUUGUCCAUCGGGUUUCGCGCGUGCUCGCAUUUGCCGUCGAGUCAUUGAACCCGUCAUCCCCUGCUUGACUCCCAAGCAAACCCCUUGAUCCGCGUCCUGCUCGUCGUCGACUCUCGGCACCACAAGCUCAUUUUCCCUUGUGCACAUCUCCACAGACCCUGUCUCAUCACCGUGUGUGUUAUCGAACUCGUCGUCGACUUUAUCUCCCGGAGACUGAUCCUAGAGUUGGAUGAAAAGGUGAGGCAAGUUCGUCCAGCAUCUGCCAGGGGCUCGACCAAAUGUCUAAAUUGGACAACCGUCAUCGCCCUCGCGGUUAUCGAAUCAAUUCGGUUUUGGUAAGCCAAUUUAUUAUUUCGGUUAAUCGAAUUAGAUUAACUAGGCUUAUUAGUCGUAUUAAUUCUCGUGUUUAGCAGGCGCAUCGUGUUUGUGUUAGAUGUUUGCUAAAAUACCUCAGCGCCUCCGGUAACUUAAUCAUGUGAAAUAAAUGCGUAAUAUGUUAGACCUUAGGUCUAAAAUGCAGGAUUUACGAAGAAGGUCUUAAAGAACGUAUAAGUUAAGUAUGCAUAAAUUGGUUCGUUAUUUGCGGCAAAUGGUCAAAUUAGUAAUGUAAAGGGUAGUGUAAGUGUUUCUAUCGUCUAGCCGGUAAUAUAGUAUAUAUAUAUAUAUAUAUAUAUAUAUAUAUAUAUAUAUAUAUAUAUAUAUAUAUAUAUAUAUAUAUAUAUAUAUAUAUAUAUAUAUAUAUAUAUAUAUAUAUAUACACGGCGGCACUAAAAUGCACCCAUGUGUAUUUUAGUUUGUGGAUGCACAGACCCCAAGAUUCCCUAUACGACCAGAGCACCUAACAUCCCGAGCACGCCCUCGGCCCUCCUGUACGCGCGCCUCCCUGCCCCCUUUAUUUUUUGGUCUGAUUGUAAAAAACCUGUUAAACAAAAAUGAUUCCAACUACUGGUGUGGUGUGAUUGCAACCUUGCAUUAAGUGUGAUUGCAACUGCUGAAUAAUUCUAUCCAAAUAUCUGUUAAAAAAUGUAAACAAAAUGAUUGCAACUGCUGGUGUGUUGUAAUUGCAACUGCUGGUGUGGUGUGGAUGCAACUGCUGAGUUGCUCUGAUGUAAUUGCAAGUACUGAAUAACUCUGGGAAAUUUUGUUAAAAAAUAUGAUUGCAACUUCUGGUUUGGUGUAAUUGCAACUACUGGUCUGGUGUGAUUGCAACUUCUAUAUAACUAUGUCCAAAAAUCUGUUAAACAAACAAUGAUUGCAACUGUUGUCUGGUGUAAUUGCAACUGCUGGUCUGGUGUGAUUGCAACUUCUAUAUAACUAUGUCCAAAAAUUUGUUAAACAAAACAAUGAUCGCAACUGCUGGUCUUGGUGCAGACUAAAGUUGUCAGGGCCUGCAAAUCACGAUUUGACGAGCAACUCAGCAGGGUGUACACCAGGGCUGUGAACAAUGAAUACAAGAGGGAAUAUAUUAACACACAGUACAAAUAGGAACAAAAAAUAGUUGUAAUACACACUAAUGUUGCAACACACAUUAGUGUGUGUGGUUAAAUUCCAGAUAAUGAAAAAAGUCAAAAGUGGACAGAAUUGCCACAUGCGCCAUAAGCCAGUUGCAACAAGACUGCUAAAAUAGUUACUACUGGGACAGUUGCAACAGUGAAUUUAAACCAAUAACUAGUUGUAUAUGAGCACAGUUGCAAAAGACAGGAAUGAUGUCUGUGGGUUGAAAGUUAAAAUUAUACAGUUGCAACUUAUGUGAUGGACCAGUUGCAAAAAAAGGUACACUGCAGUUGCAAAAAGUGGAAACAUCUGAGUUGAUAAUCUAGAACACAAACUGCUUAUUCAAAUGAAAUGUAUCCGCAUAAAAUACAACAAUUACUAAUUGCAAUCAACGGAUAAUACUAGUUGCAACACUUGGGAAAAAAUGGGGAUUACCAGUCUAUUAUCGAAGAUAACGAAACAAAUCCAACAAAAUCAAUGUACUUAAAUCGGGUCCUCCAAAUUGCAAUAACAAAGCGUCGGUUCGGCCUGGGUGGGACGGUUGGCUCGGACCAGGUGCUCUUGGCGUGUAGGUUGGGCCUGGGUGCAUUCUCUAUAUUGAAUGCACCCAUGUGUAAUAUAUAAAUAUAGUAUAUAUAUAUAUAAUGAUUUUCUGUAUGAUUGAUUUGCGUUGAUAUCGUGUUUAGCUGAUAUGAGGUGUAUAAUAGUUUAGAGUAAUAAUUCUACGUCAUUUAAAAUGCUAUUGUCGGUUAUUUUAAGUUAUAGGUAUAUAGGGUUUACUUGUGAAAUUUGUAAUGCCAUGCGAUUAAAUAUUUAAUCCUCUUUGGUGUAGCAAUAUUUAGUAUUGUACUAUUCUUGUUUAUAUACAUUCAUGUGCAUUAUGCAAAUCAUUUAGGUAUGUUAAUUAAUCACGUGAUGCGGAGGAAAAGAGCCAAGUUGACCUCAAGAUGGUGCAAGGAGUGGUCUUCUUCGCACAACGAUGACGUCAGUCGAACCAACCUGAAGAAGGUUAAAUCAAGCAAGUGCUCGGCCGAGGGAUACUCGUCAAGCAGACGUCGUCUAACAAACAUUAAUGUAGUGUUUAUUCUAGGCAAGCCCUGGUGCACUUGCCACCUCCUUGUGUUUUAAAAUCUUUAUCACCUUGUUUGAUGCAUUAGGUGAUAGGAGUUGUGUGCUAAACCGUUGAUGCAUUUCCUUCCUUGGAAAAUUGAAUACCCUUCCUUGAUACCCUUUUAUAAAAAGGAUUUUUGAUGCUUAGCCUUGCUCUAGAAAAACAAAAUGCUUUGUUUUAAAACAAAAAUGAUGCUUCACAGUGGAUGGGAAUUUUUACAAAAGAAAAUACUUAUGAUGGUGAAUCCGUCAAAGGCCUUGAUGGGUUCAACAUCAGAAAAGAUGUACCCUUGCCAAGUACCAAACUUUGGGUUGAAAAAUAAUAAAGCUGAGACCGGACGAGUGACUUGCACGAGAGGAGAGUCUCGGUAUAGUGUCUCCGUCUGAGUCGAUUAAGGACCGUGUCGAUGUAGGCUUGAUGAUUGAGGACCUUUUAACUGGCCACAUGCCUCGUCAUGGGUAAGCUUUGCCUCGGGCAGACUAAUAACAGGAAGGCCGACAGGCAAUGGGAGUGGAGAGAUGACGAGAGUAGCGUGUACCCUCCGUGGCAAGAGGCUGGACGGUGGUGUAUCUGUGAUCUCGGUUGGCGUGAACCUGGUCUGGUCUUAAGAACCCCGGUGGCGAGUUGACAUAUGCAAGGGUUAAGUGCUACAUAUGUCGUGUGAUCGGAGAUCCCUAGCUGGGUAUUAAUAGAUUCAGAUCGCCGUUACUUCUCGGACAUGAAGACUUGAUCACUGACUUACACGUAGCAAUCUAGUGAACUGAUGGGAUGAUAAAAAGACGGCUGGUAUAGGCCAAGUGCUUGAACUAGGGUAGAAAGAACUCUAGAUGCAGGCAGGGGCGGGCCCAACUAGAUUCAAUUGUAUUCAUCUGAAUACCCAUUAUUUUUGACAAAAAAAUCAAUAGAUACUAAUAUACAUGUAUAUGGUAUAUGUACACAGGAAAUAGAAAAAGAAUCAGGAGUUGUGCUCAUUUGGGCUAAAAACGUUCCUUUUCUAGCCUCCACCCAAGCCAGCCCACUAGGUUUGGCGUCAUGGCCCAUUCUGAAAACCCCACGCUAGCAGGCAGCACCAGGCCACCAGCCGUCCAGUCGCCGCCGCCUGCCUACCAUACGGCAGCACUGCUGACUGCUCCUGCAGGCUGCACUGCUGCAGCGCGACGCCGCGACGGCCGACGGCGCGACACAGGCACAGGCAGUCAGGCACACAACGACAGCGGCAGUGCGGCACGGCGCCUCAGUGGCUCAGUCCGCGGUCAGCACAGCAGGUCAGCCGUCGCCCGUCAACUCUCAACUUCAGUUUUGAAAUAGUUGUAUGCAAAUAUGCAGUUUGCGUUUAAUUAGCUGUAUGCAAAUAUGCAGUUUGUGUUUAAUUAGCUUCGCAUUGCAGGAUUAAAUCAUGAAGAGGAAGAACAGUGGUACUACUGAUUUGAGGGUUUUUUUAGCUAGAGCUGCAGCAAAGAAACAAUCUGAACAAACGAGUGUUGCUCCAUCUUGCAAUGAAAGGCAUAAGCAACUGGUGAUAUUCCAAGAACAGAGUAAUGGUGGAACAAGCACAACACCGUCUGAACAAGUGAGAGUUGAAGUUGAGCUCCCAACAAUAGAACAUGGUGAAGAUAGUAGUGACUCUGAGUCUGCCCAUCUAAACCAGUUUGAUUCUAGCGAUGAAGGAGAUCGUGAUGGUAUUUAUGGCAUUGAGCAUGAUCCUAGUUUGAGGCUCCCUAUCUCAAGUUAUGAUGUGAAUGACCAAGAUACAGUUAGAAGAGCAUAUAUUGCAUUGGGACCAUGUCGACCAAAGAUGAACAAGGAUGUUUUCCCUCAACAUGAAUGUGGAGGUAUGCGUCGCUUUCAACCAAAGUGGUUUUCUGAGUUCAAUUGGCUUGAAUAUAGUGUGGAUAAAGAUGCUGCAUAUUGCUUUGUUUGUUAUUUAUUCAAAGAUAACAAUAAAUUUCCUGGUGGAGAUAGUUUUGUCAAUGGUGGGUUUAGAAACUGGAAUAUGAAAGUUAGAUUUUUAAGGCAUGCUGGUGGUUUAAAUAGUGCUCAUUGUGAAGCUGAGGCGAAAUAUAAUUUGUUCAUGAAACCUAAGUCAUCUAUUUGUGAGUCUAUUGCAUCAAACAGUGAUGAGUACAAGGCUCAAUACCUAGCUCGUUUGACAUGGUCACUUCAGUGCAUAAGAUAUUUGUUGCGUCAGGGAUUGGCAUUUCGUGGUCACGCAGAGGGAAAGGAUUCAAAUAACAAAGGGAAUUUUUGAGAACUUUUGCAAUGGCUUGCAGGGAACUUUGAAGAAGUUAAUAAGGUGGUUUUAGGAAAUGCUCCUAACAAUUGUCAGUUGAUAGAUCACAAGAUUCAAAAACAACUCAUUUGUUGUUGUGCCAAUGAAACUACCAAAAUAAUAAUGGAUGAACUUGGUGAUGAGUGUUUUGCUAUUCUUGCUGAUGAAUCUAGUGAUGCAUAUCAGCAGGAACAAUUGGCUCUUUGCUUACGGUAUGUCAAUAAAAUAGGAGAGCCAGUUGAGAGAUUUCUUGGUCUUGUAAAAGUUGCAAAUACUACAUCAUUGACACUAAAAGAAGCAAUUCAGUCAUUGCUUCUUGAAUGGCAAUUGCCCUUAUCUAAGAUACAUGGACAAGGGUAUGAUGGAGCUAGUAACAUGAAGGGUCAUGUUAAUGGUUUGAAGAAAUUAAUGAUGGAAGAGUCACCUUCUGCUCAUUAUGUUCACUGCUUUGCCCAUCAACUUCAACUAACCCUUGUAGCCGUUGCAAAGGAGAAUAUUGAUUGUGCUUGGUUCUUUGGGCAACUUGCAUAUUUAUUGAAUGUUCUUGGUAUGUCUUGUAAAAAGAUCUCUAUGCUUCGAGUAGCUCAAUCUGAAUAUAUGAUUGAAGCAUUAAGGUUGGGUGAAAUAGAAACUGGUCAAGGUUUGAAUCAAGAGAUGGGCUUAGCAAGACCAGGUGAUACACGUUGGGGAUCUCACUAUAGAACUGUAAUGCAUGUUAUGGCCUUGUAUCCAUCAAUUAAGAAAGUUCUCUCCAAGAUUGGUAAGGAAUAUAAAGGAGGUGAGUCUUUGGGAGCUCAAACUAUGCUGCAAGUGUUUCAAUCAUUUGAGUUUGUUUUUAUGUUGCACUUGAUGAAUGAAAUAUUUGGGUACACCCAUGACUUAUGCAAUGCUUUGCAAAGGAGGGACCAAGAUAUUGUAAAUGCAAUGGACCUUCUUGAUUUCACUAAGGUAGAAUUGGAUGUUUUAAGAAAAGAUUCUGGUUGGGAAGAAUUUCUUAAGAAUGUCAAUUCCUUUUGUGAGAAGCACAAAGUUAAAAUUGUUGAUAUGGAUGGAAAGUAUAAGCCUAUACAAAGAGACAAGAAGUUCUAUAAAAAUGCUAUCAACUAUCACCGGUUUCAUGCUGAUAUGUUUUUGGGUGUUAUUGAUAGGCAACUUGUUGAGCUUAAUAACAGGUUUGAUGAGGUCAACACUGAGUUACUUAGAUGCAUGGCAUCAUUUAGUCCAGCCAAGAAUUUUUCUGCCUUUGAUGUUGAGAAAUUGGUUAAACUUGCUGGACAUUAUCCUCAUGAUUUUCAAUUUGAAGAGAAGGCACAACUUCCUUUUCAACUUAAUCGCUAUAUUGAAGAUGUGAGGAAUGAUGAAAACUUUAAAAAUUUGAAAGACAUAGCUGAGUUGUCUAUGAUGCUUGUUAAAAUAGAUAAGAUUCUGAGGUAUGACAUUGUCUACAAACUUCUUAAGUUGGUGCUAGUUCUCCCUGUUGCAACUGCCGGUGUUGAGAGGAUUUUUUCUUCAAUGAACUACAUAAAAAACAAGCUAAGAAGCAAGAUGGGUCAAAAUUUCUUGAAUGGAUGUUUGGUUACUUUCAUUGAAAGGGAAUUCUUCUUGGAAGUCAAAGAUGAGGACAUCAUUGCUCAAUUUCAAAGCAUGAAGGAUCGGAAAGUUAGAUUGUGAUUUGUAAGCUUUCUUCUCAUUUUAUCAUAUCAAACAAUUAUUUUAGUCUUUACUCUUUGUAUUAUGGUAUGUUCUAGAAUUUUAAAUUAUGAUGACUAGUUAUUGAAUCAGAGAAUCAGUUAUGCCUAUAUUGUUUAUGCUUAAUUAUAUGUUAUAUAUACAAAUAAUUACCUAUGUAUGCCAGUAGAAAAACUUUAGUCUUUAAAAAUCAUCAUCCUAGAAAAUUUUCGAAUACCCACACUCUAAAUCCUGGGCCUGCCACUGGAUGCAGGUAACUUUACUUGACCUGACAAGUAAAAAUGGAUUUUAAGGAUCCACUCAUAGUAAGCUUUUCUGCAAACAGAGUCCUUGAUCCUUGAUAAGCCUUCCCUUGAAUCCUUUUAAAACCAGCAUACCCUUGAGGGUCUUUUCUUUAGUUGGGUAAGUCUUGCUGAGUAAUAGCGUACUCAGGGUUUUAUUCCCUGUUGUUUUUCAGGUUAUAACUUUGUGCUAGUGUUGAUGGUGUUAAGUGCCGGUGGGCUCGGCCUUCUUAUAAGUCUAAGUAACUCUUCUAUACUUCUUAUUGAGGAUGGUCACUUGAGCUAGCAUAUAUUUCAAACUUAUAAUUAAUUUAUAACAUUUCAAAGUUUAUUUCUUUGAAUCACUAUUGUAAUCACUCCAAUAAACAUAAAGUAAAUUUGAUGUAACUGCUAGAAUUUGGUAAUAAGAUUUCCGCUGCAAAAAUGUUGGUGUGUGAUUUGUGUUUACUUAAUCCUGCGGUCCUGGUUGUAAGUGGUUUAUCCGGGGUCCUUGGGACACUCGGACGGAUCCUGUUAAGUUAUUUGGUGCACAUGCAUAGCCGUCUGAGGUCGUUAAGACAAGGACAGGUGCAUGUGGACCCAAUAACUUGGGAGGUUCUGCCACAAGUCGGGGGUCUCCUCGGAUGAGGCGGACUCCUUUGACUCUUCCAAGGAGUGGAGCGGCAGCGAUGGUGACGACGAGGGCGACGACAGUGGCAAGGGUGACGGCGGCGACAACAGCAGUGACAGUGGUAGGAAGGGCGACGACGGCAGCGACGGUGGCGAGGGUGACAGUGGUGGCCGUGGUGACGGUGAGGGUGACCGUGGUGGCAGUGGCGACGGUGGCGAUGGUACCAGCGGUGGCGGUGAGAGCGACGGUGGUGGCUGCAUCGAUGGCGGCAAGGGCGGCAGUGGCGGCAAGGCCAGUGGCAUAGUGCCACUGGUUUAAAUAUUAGUAUAGAUAGUUAGCAGUAGUAGUAGUAGUUAGUAGUGUAGUGUAAGUAGUAAGGUAGUGUAAUGUAAUGUAGUAAUCAGGGUGAAAGAAGUCGACUCAUAAUGAGUCGGCUUCGAAUUUGUGCUACCCCCUCCAGUAUGAAUCAAGAAUUUGGUUGCUUCAAAUGACCACUGCUUUGCUAAUUUCCAUUUGCGCGUUUGAAAGUUUGUCCAUAUGCUUGACAUUGCUAGCACUUUAGAGGUAACUGCCGAGUGAUGCCUGAAGCCUUUGCUUUUUUGAGUAGUGAUCUGGCACUUUAGAGAUAAUGCCCGACCCGAGAAACCCCAUUUAUACUCGCGCCGAUGUGCCUUUUUGAUUUUCGAGCCCUAACUUCACUUUUUCCCUAUAGCCACUCCUUCGCUUCCCUGAAAUUCUGAGCCCGCUCACCCCGCCUGAAAGAUUGCGAUGGCUCCCACGCGAAAGAGGCAGAGCACCGCUGCUGCAAUCAUCCCACCCAUUGACCCCAAUAGCGAGCUUCCAUUUGCUGGUAACCACAUGUUUGUUAUCUCCAAAUCUGACCUUCUCCACCUUGUUGAGAUUGAGGUUUUGCUUCCAAAAGAGCUCUGUUCUUGGCGGAUCUGUCACGGUGUCACUGUUCCGACAGAGGACACCCAUGAAUCUGUUGUUUACGUUCCAUUUCUUAUCCGUCGGCUUGCUCUUCCCAUCUCCCUUUUUUCUACGGCCUGCUUGAUUUUUACGAGUUAAAUCUGACACAUUUUAACCCUAACUCAUUUCUGCAAGUUGCCGUUUUCAUACAUCUGUGCGAGGCUUUUCGGGAUUCUCCCUCAUUUCGGACUCUGGAAGUAUCUUUAUCACUAUCGGCCCAGGAUGGCUGGGGGGCAGCAUCAGCUUGUUGGUGGCGCAAGUUUGGAGCUUCACCGAGGGAGGAAAAUGGAGUAUCUCGACAUCCCCAUCAAGGACAACAUUAAGGGAUGGCGUCUUGAGUGGUUCAUCGUGGGAAAUCAUGGCAAAUCUCUCCCCCCUCGGUCAGGGAGGCAACUAGAUGUUCGCACCCCCAGCUGGGUAGAGUCUCCCACCUAUUUAGAGAUAACUGAGGCCAAAGUACUACUUGCUAAAAUUUGCUUAUUGAAGGACAGGGGUCUGAUUGCUGAGGUCGUGGUCGUCGAUUUUGUCUUCAAGAACAUUCAACCAUUGAAGGACAGAGUCUACCCCGCUUAUUUGUAUACCGGCAUUAAUGAUUCCACCCGAGUCACAGACAGACAGAUUCCCCAUGAAGAUUUGCUGAGCCAACUGGAUAUGAUUCUGAGGGGUAGACUCUCGAAUGCUGGUGCUCCUAUAGCUUACUCUGCAUGGAGCCUGCCACCAAAUAGGCCAUUCUCUAAAUUUGUCUCCAACCCUGCUACUCAUGAUGGUAGCUCGGGUCAUAGAGUGCGACCCUCCCCCGAGGAUAUUGAGGCCUUGAUUGCCCCACUUCGAAGUAUUUCUGAGGUUGAGAGGCAAACUCACUUUGAAAUGCCAGCUAGCACCGAUGAUGCUGAGAUGGAUGUCGUACUUAGCUUGCUAGCCGGAGAAUCAUCUAACUCUACCCGCAUCUAGCCAAUGGCCGUCACGACUGUAACACCAUAAAAGCCAUCAAUUAAAAAUAAUGAAUUUAGUUAUUAUGUUAAUUAGGGUAAUAAUUUUUUAAGUGUUUAAUUAUUUAUUUGCAUGAUCGUUUUCUUUAUAUGCGCUUGAUUAAUUAUCGGAUGUUUAUUAUCAAUUAUUUUUUAAAGAAAAAUCCUAGUGAAUAAUAUAAUAAUUAAAUAAUAUAAUAAUUAUUAGUCUAAAAACAAGUAUUUUAUUUAUAAAUAGUUUUGGUGAAAUUUUAUGAAUUUUUGUGCUAUCUAAAAAUGUAUUUCGGAAUUAGAAAAAAAAAUCUCCUAAUCUAAACCCGUCCAACUAAGAGCCCAUCCCAAACCCUAACACCCGCGCGCGCUUGGCUGGCUCCCAGCUGAAGCCGCCACCGCCUGCACUUUCUUCUCCCUCCUCUGUUCUCUCUCUCUCUCAAGCGUCUCCUCUCCUCUCUGCUCUCUCUCCACCGCUCCCGCUCAGCGCGCCUCGCAUCGCCGCUGCCAGGCCAGCUCCACCGCGCCGAGCAUGCCCACCCGCAGCCGACCGCGCGCCCUGCCCUGCGCCUGCUACUGCGCCCAGGCGCGCACACCGCUACCCCGCACAGCAGCCGAGCCGCCGAGCCGCCGAGCACCCUGCACCGCGCACGCCCCAAGCUGGCUCGACGCCCCCGCCCCGACGUGAAGAUCCGGCCAGCCGCGCGACGCCCACGCGCACCCAACCGAGGCCGACCCGAGCCGCCAGCCGACCGCGCGUCUGCCCCGCGCAUCUGUUCGAUUUCUCGCCGUUAAUGGAGCAUCAAAUCCUCCGUUACUCCCUCUCCCAUUUCUCUCCAUUACUCUCGUUAGAAACUGACGCAUGUGAUGGCCAUUGAAGACCACCGGCGACCUCUCCUCUCCCUCCUGCUCCCUAUAAAAGGCAGCAAAGCCUCUCUCCAUUUUCCCCCUACCCAAGCUCGCCCCCAUCUCUCUCACUCUCAUCGCCGUUAGAACCACCGCCGGAGUUCGCCAGAGUUCGUCAUCGCCGGAGCUACGCCAUCCGCCGUGCGUAGUCGAGCCCCUGCUCUUCUCCAUCCGGCCGAAACCCCGUCGAACUCUCUCCAUCACACGUGCGAACCCAAGGUUGAAGACGACUCAAAUUAUUUUGUAUAUUUUAUAAAAUACUUUUUUGAUUCGAUUCAUGAAUUGUAUAUUUAGUUUGUUGUAAUAUGAACACGUGUGAUCCAUAAUUUAUGUGUAUGUGUGUUAUGGAAUUUUUGGUAGAGAUAUGCGAUCGUUAGUACACCGUGAUAUUUCAUGUUAGUCGUGGCGUUGAUUUUUGGAUUAGAAAAAUAUGACAAAAUUUAGUAGUCACACGUUGGUGAUAAAAACAAUAGAUAGAAACUUUGUAGUCAAAUUUGGUCACAAGGAACUUUAGAAACUUUUUGGAGAAUUAUAGUCAUAGGUGCAUUUUAAUGGAUUUAGAAAAUGGUAUAAAACUCAUGUCAUGUGAAUAAUAUAGGAUUUCUAGAUGAUUUAUCUAAUUAUUUUAUUAACAUUUUCUUUUUAUAAAGAAAGGAGAAAAUAUCAUUAGUAGGAUGGAAAAUAGAUUUUUGCUAGUCAAAUAAAAAUGUUCGCAAAUUUAGCACUUAAAUUUUUAGAGUAAGCAAAAUACUAGUUUAUGUCAAAAUAACCUCGCUUGUGUUAUAAAAGUUCAAUUAGUAUUUAUAGGUAUUUUUAGAAUGUUAAAUUCAUUUUUGCUAUACUCAAUAAUUUGAGUUAGAAAUAAAAAGGAUAAAAGCUAUUAAUUUAUUUAUUAGUAUUAAAGACAAUAAUUAUCAUUUAAUUUCAUUGAUGAUGUUAAAAUAUAUUAAUACUAGUUAAAACUGUAUUUAUUGCACCCACUCAUAAAUUCAUCAUUAGGACUCACAAUAAUAACUAUAAUUCAAUUAAUAAGUAUUUACGCGUUUAGGAUGUAUUUAAGGUGUGAUAAGUGCGAUAUGUUAAUGUGCAUGUAAUGGUGUAUGUUUAUGAAAUGGUGCAUGUUUAUUUAUUGGUGUAUGCUUUCUUUUUGUAUGGCGACGUGUAACGUUAUUAGAGGCUGACGGUGUGGUAGACGAACCAAAUUCGUUCGAGGACGAUCCACAGGACGCAUUUGAGCAAGGCAAGUGGAUUCUCCCUCUGCAUAUUCUUUUUGUACCCACUCAUUGCAUAUAAUAAUAUUUACUUUUAAUAUGUUGCAUAAUUUGAUGGGUUUUACAUAAUUAAGGAUUUCCUAGAUUUAUCAAUUGUAUUCCUUGUUUAACCUGUGUUGGGGACCUUCGGCAUCCGAAGGUCCUGAAAAACAGGAUUUAACAGUAUUUCUGGAGUAUAAUGUGUGAACAGGUAUCUUCGGACUCAAGUCGGCACCACAGUAGACCAGAAUAAUACGAAGGUUGGUACAGCGCCGAAGGUGUGAGCAGGAAAGCUUCGGCGUGACAGCAGAAAGUGAAACCGACUUAAAGAUGAAAAGGCUAUUUAGACCUCGACAGAUUACUAUAGAAUUAUUAUCAACUGUAAAGGGCAUGAAUGUAAUUUUGUAUGGGUUGUGUCCCGCGCCUAUAAAUAGGUGAACAGUACUCCCGUACUGUUCACGCUGACUUGGCAUUCGCUUUUUGCGUCACACUUGUACUAUCAUCUCCUUCCAGUUGAAGGUACAUUUGUAAUUCAAAGAUGUUUAUGUCUAUGUCUGAUAGUAAUAUAUAAUUAUUUAUGUUAUCUUUUAUAUUCUCUACAUUUUAUUCUUCGUCACUGUAUAAUAAAUUUAUGAAGGCACGCUCUUCAUCACCUUCGUCCGAAAAUCAUUAUAUCCUAAGGGAAAUAAUGUUUCGAAGGACGAAGGACUUUAGCGAUUAACCUUUUUUAUGUUGCCUUGUUCUUAACUCCUAGCAUUUGAGAACAAGUCCCCAACAUUGGCGCCCACCUCCGGUGAACUCACUUCCACUCUGAGUUUUUUGAGCACCUUCGGCGAUCAUAAACCUUCGUUAUGGCGCCGAAGAAGGCUUCAGCGACUGGGGCUGUAGCUCUGCAACCACUGGACCACAAUCAGGAGACGGUCUCCCUGCGGGAGGCCCGAAGCCAGAAAAGGAAGGCUGUCAGCCCGACACCACCAGAGGACGAGAUAGAUCAAGAAAUCAGAGAUAUGGAGAUGCUUCAUCAACAAGUACAAAGGAAGAAAGAAAAGAUGGCCAGGCUAGCUGAACUGCAGAGGCAGAUAGACGAAGCCUCUGAAGAAGUUCGUCAUCUUGCCCAGGAUGAGCAGCACCGAAGGCCUCAACACCAAGAUCUUCAUCAGGAGGGUUUUCCCAACGAAGAUGACUGGUAUGACAAUUUCCAUCAUGGGAAUUUUGUUUUUGAUGAUGCUUCUCCUCUGUCCGCUGAGCUGCAGGCUACACCUUGGCCUCCGUCCUACAAGCCGCCCCAGCUUCCCGUAUUCGAUGGCCACUCAGACCCGAAGCAGUUUUUGAUGAGCUACGAAGCAACAGUAUCUUCGUAUGGUGGCAAUGCUUCAGUCAUGGCCAAAUCUUUCGUUAUGGCUGUCAGGAGUGUGGCUCAAACCUGGUAUUCCUCCCUUCGACCAGGAAUGAUCACUUCAUGGCAGAAGCUGAAGGAUUUGUUGUUAACUAGCUUCCAAGGAUUUCAGACGAAGCCGGUCACUGCUCAGGCUCUGUUCCAGUGCACCCAAGAUCACGAAGAAUACCUUCAGGCGUAUGUCCGAAGGUUCUUGCGUUUGAGGGCACAGGCACCAACGGUGCCCAAUGAAAUUGUCAUUGAGGCCAUGAUCAAGGGGCUUCGGCCAGGACCGUCAGCUCAGUACUUCGCUCGGAAGCCUCCUCAAACUUUGGAGAAGCUGCUCCAGAAGAUGGACGAGUACAUUCGGGCCGAAAAUGAUUUUCGCCAAAGAAAGGAGGAGGCUUUCAGGUUUUCUGAAAUGACCAGGGGCUUCGGAGGGAGGUUCUACCCGAGGCACGUGAGAUCAAUUCAUAACUCUACACAAAAUGAUGAUAGAGGAAGCCAACAGCAAAGGCCACAAUGUUCCUCACAGGCUUCGGGGCAACAGCAAAGCUCCUUCAGACCACCAGCUCCAAGAGGCAGAGGCGCCAGGGGCUUUGGAGGAAGAUUUGGCGAUCAACCGAGAAGAAUCUUUUGCUUAUUCUGCGGUGAGAACAAAGGCCAUACUACCAGGAUGUGCCAUGUUACUAUUCAAAAGCAAAAGGAAAUAGCUGAAGCAGCAGCACAACAAGCUCAGCCGAAGCAGGUCAUGCAUACAGCUUCGUAUCAUUCGCCCUACAUUCCAGAAUAUGUGGGCAAUCAUCCUGCAGUUUCUGUUGCUUCGGCGAACCAGCCUCAAGCUUCUUGGCAAUAGCCUCCGCCUCCACCUCCGUUGCAACAAGGCCAGCAGCCAGAAGGGAGCCAGUAUGCUCCGCACUAGAGGGACUUCAGAGAGCAGUCCGAAGCUCGUACAGUCAAUAGCACUGUGCCAGAGUCUAAGCACAUCUAUUGACAAAUAUCCUACCUUAAUAGCAAUCUUUUUCAUUCAGUUUUAUUUUCUGUAAUAAAGGACAUUGUUUAGGUUUCAUGUAAUUAGUUUUGUUGAUUCCUACAAGGAAAAUAUAUUUUCUUCACAGGCUUAUAUUGAUUAAAGUUCAAAGACUUGUGAUAACAAAGAGGACCUUCGAACUAUCGAAAAUUCUUCGAAGCAACAAAAAGUCGUUCUAAGGAACGCAGAGUAAGUUUGCCGAAGUCACAAAAAAGUCGUUCCAAAGGGAGCGCAGUGUAAGUUUUCUGCUCCAAAGUCGUUCCAAAGGGAAUGCAGAGCAUACAGCGAAAAGUCAACGCUGAUACCGCCUAAGUAAAAGGCGAAGCGCGAAAAGUCAACGCGAAUACCGCUGAAAGUAAAAGGCGAAGAAGCUCCUAAGGGAGGCUUACAGCGAAAAAUAAACGCUGAUUCCGCUGAAGUAAAAGGCGAAGAAGCUCCUAAGGGAGGCUUAUAAAAGAUUGUGUUUUAUUGCAGGGAUGCGUAUGUAUCUUCGGAAUAAACAUCAUCGCACAUAACAUAACAUCAUCGCAUCAUUUCGCAUAGCAUAAGCAUCAUACAUCAUUUUGCACAUGGCACAAGAGGUGGACACAUUAUCAAUCUACAGAAGAACGCUUUGAAAAAAGGGAGAAAUCAUAGUCACAAAAAGAUACAUUAUUGAUCUUCGGAAGUGUAGCUUCGGAAAAAAUUUUCACGAAGCCUGGAUAUUAUUCAUCAGAACAUUGGAUAUUGUUGUGACAAAGAUAAAUUUUUCUUCACGAAGCAUGAAAAGAAGGGAAGGUGUUUUUUCGUCAAAGACUCAAAAGCGGUACGUGUAAAGUUUCAUGCAUCGUAAAGAAUUAACUAACAAAAAUAGGUAUAUUACAUUUGGGGUUACAAAAUGUUACAAUAUAUUACAUUUCAGAAGUUUUCACAAAAAUACUUAAUCUUCUCUCAAAACGACUUCUGCAGCCUCGUUCAGGAGCCGAUUGACGACUUCGUCCAUAAUAUCUUCAGCCAUCUUUUUGAUUUCGUCGUCUCCUUUUGGCUGAGGGCCCGAAGACGUUUUAGCAGGAUCUGAAGUAAGACAGGAUACGGCUACAUUGCUAUUACAAAUCGCAAACAAAUCUUAAAGCCUAAAGAUUACAACACAAUAAAAACUAUUAAGUUAAUACCUAAAUGACCUUCGGCCUCUGCGCUCUUUUCAGCAGCCUCAGCUACUUCUCUAGCAUCGUGAAUGCCCUUUUCACUUCUUCGAAUAAUUUCUCCGGCCAUUUCUCGGCCACCAUUAUCCCAGAUAUCGGUAAAAAACUUUCCACCAAUUAUACUAGCUUCGGCCGAAGGAUCUCUUGCACCUUCAAAGGACAAAGCAGCUUCGGACUGUGCUAAAAUUUUUACAUGUUCGCAGCCCUUCUUCUCUAAGAUGGUGGCAAUCCCUCUAGCACCAGAGAAGGCACAUAUAUCUCCUCGACUAUUUAAAAUUUCUUCGAAGGCCUCAGCUUCGUGGUCGAUCCAUUCGAUGGGACCUUCGGGAUUGCCUCUCGUAAAGUUUUCUUCGCUUGAGAAAGCGCCAACCCUGGCGAAGCUAGCUUUUAACUUCUUAACACACUCUAUAGAUUUGUUAUAGCAUCUCUUUCUGGACGAACGAAGCUCUUCAACAGUUAUUUCUAGGUGAUCGGCCCAUUGGUCGCUGAGUUCUCGCUUUGUUUCUUCGAGUAUGCGUUCUUCCUUGGCUCUGGCCAGUUGUUUCCGAAGAUCUUCAAUUUUCCGCUUCUGAGCUUCAGCUUGACCUUUGAAAGCAGCUUCGUCCUCCUUUAUUUUAUUUAUCAAUGAGUGCAACAUUUUAUCUUUUUCGAGACCUUCGUUCCUCAGUUCAAUAACUUCGGAACGAAGGUUGCUCAGGGCUAUAGAACACCCUUCGUCUUCAGCAUCUUUCUGUGCCCUGAGGGCAUUGCUAAGUAUCAGGCCCUGCAAAGAGAAAUAUGUCUGCGUCAAUAGGUUUAAACAAACGAAAAAUUUUGGACUCAACAAAAAAUACAAGGAUUUCAUUUGUCGCACCUUUAAGCUAUUGUAAGCUAGGCUGUCGGCCAGAUCGUUCUUCGACAGCACCGAAAGCCCAUCUUCUAAAGUUGGGAAUCCGAAGCUCCUGCUCAUCUCCCGACAGACAGAAAUUUCCUUGUUGUCGGGGAGACAAUACAAGAAGUCUUCUUCUCCACUGCCAUUGAAUAUUAACGCCCCCUUUGGAUAUUUCAGUUUCUGGGCGUAGUGCUGGGCCUCUUGCUCUUCUUUUUCUGAUAAUUUUUUCCCCGAAGCAUGACGAACAAUAUAAUCACGAACUUUGGGGGAUGCUUCGGGGGCAAUGACACCGGUUUCUUCAACAAAAGUUGGCUUUGUUAUUUUUUCUGCCUCACUUUCCAAGGAUUUUAUCUUUGCAGGCUCUGAGGGCCCAGCUUCGGUUUCAGUCUCUUGCCCUGUAGCUUUAGAAUCAGAAAUUUCAGUUGUUGUUUCAGGAAUGACAGCAGCCCUCUUCGGAGGUGUGCUUGAAGAUUUGAUCGUUUCCAGUACAUCUAGCACAUUAGCCAUUCUCUUUCUUUUUGGAGUCACUGCUGGCACUUUUUGAUUUUUUACUGUCUCAAUGUUUGCUGCAGGACUCAAAACUUCUGAUGUUUUGGAUCCCUCAGUUGCUUCUUUUACCUCUUCCAUUUUUUCUGUGAACGGCGCUUCGGCCUUCUCUUUCGUUUCUGAUAAUAAAAUCUUUGAUUGUUCCAAUUCUAUCUUUGUUGGCACUUUAGCCGUUUCUGCGACUUCUGGCAGCAAGGUUGGCUCGGUUGGUUUUUUAGCUUCGGUGGCCGAAGAAGUUUCUCCGGUAAACUCGGGCACCGAAGCUGGUUCAAUAUAGCGCGGCCGAUGUGUAAGGACCUUUAUCUUCUUUCUUUUCGGUUCUGGCUCGCUAGGAGCAGUUGCAGCUUCUUCUCUUGCAGAGGUUGUGUUUUUUCUUUUCUGCCUUCGAAUGGGAUAGCAAUAGUCAGGGUAGACAAACCCGAUUGCAUCAAAUACCCAAUUCAGCCUCUUCUUCUUUCGGCCUCCGAAGGCUGCUGACAUUGCAGUGUCUUCGGCCUUCGAAUAAGCCCCAAGCAGUUCAUCACUUAAAUUUUCAAUACUUUUUAACCAGUCAUCAUCUGGCUCAACGAAUUUAUCUCCAAAUUUAAAAGUGUACUUCAACCUGAUAAGUCCACCUUCGUCGGCCUCUUUUACGGUUUCUUGUGGCAUUUCCCAUUUCUCCGCGAGCGGCCAUACCCUGAAGGCAAUAUGCUCUUGUACUAAGUCUCUCGUUCCAAUGAAAGAGCAGACUGCGCCGAAGGCCCUCUGGCAUUCUUCGGCAGCUUCAUUCAUUUCAACCUUCGGCCUCCGAAGGCCGAAGCUUUGCCAGAUAGGGCGCAUAAUUAUACCUUUGAUAUCUUCUCGUAAUGACAGGUCAUUCUUCACAUAAAACCAUUCCGUCAUCCAGUCGCCGGGCCAUCUCUUCCGAAAGGUUGGCACGGGACAGCUUGACCCGGAGCGAGAAACGAAACUAUAGCAGCCAAAAUUAUUGUGAUACUGUUCCUUGCCCCAAGGUUUUGUUUCUUAUGAUAAUUCGUGUAUAUUGCAGAAGCUUUUGCAUCAGGCUUCAGACCUUGGCUUCUCACGGCCCACAAAGAUAUUCAGCUUAUGAUUGCUUCGGGGUAAGUUGGUGAAGAUAGACUUCGAAGAUUUCAACACCUCACAACGAAGUGUCAAGGAAAUCGCAGUCCAGCUUUCAAAAGCUUCGGUACACUACGACUUCAUUCUCUUCAGGGUGUGGCACGUUUUUCCCUUCGUCGGCCUCACAAUGGAUAAUCCGGAAUACCUUCUCUCAUGUUGACAAGAUGAUUCUCUUUGAUAGUUGAUUUACCAUAAACUGAAUGCUUGGUCGCCAGGACGAUCUUCGGAGUCUUCACCACCACUGUCCACAUCAUAGCUGUCACUGUCACCAGUAUCUUCAGACAAACCUUCCAGAAUCUCCUUGGUGAUUUUUUCUGUAUUGGUCUUUGACAUCGCUAUAAGAAACCCCAAGUUUUUCUCUUUGUCCAGGCUCAGCUUCAUCUCAGCAGCAGUCUUCUUAUCCUCAGACAUCUUCGGAGACACUAAAAACUAUUUUCAAAGCCGAAGCUUCAAAACUAAAGGCUUAACAAAUCUUAGUGCACAAGAGCUAAAAAUUGAGUGAGCGGGAGCAGUUGGCCAGAGAGCGUGUCAAAUGAGUUUGCGGUAUGACCGUAUUUAUACGCCAAGUGCGUUGAAAAUUGAAAGACCCCGCUUGUCAGUGAAUGUUGCUAUUCUAGCAAAGGGAAGGUGUUUUUUCGGACCUUCGGCGUAAAGCCUUCGUCCAUGUCGCAAUCUAAAUUUAUUAUUUUAAACAAAUUAAUAUUGCGAGGGGCUACUGUUGGGGACCUUCGGCAUCCGAAGGUCCUCAAAAACAGGAUUUAACAGUAUUUCUGGAGUAUAAUGUGUGAACAGGUAUCUUCGGACUCAAGUCGGCACCACAGUAGACCAAAAUAAUACGAAGGUUGGUACAGCGCCGAAGGUGUGAGCAGGAAAGCUUCGGCGUGACAGCAGAAAGUGAAACCGACUUAAAGAUGAAAAGGCUAUUUAGACCUCGACAGAUUACUAUAGAAUUAUUAUCAACUGUAAAGGGCAUGAAUGUAAUUUUGUAUGGGUUGUGUCCCGCGCCUAUAAAUAGGUGAACAGUACUCCCGUACUGUUCACGCUGACUUGGCAUUCGCUUUUUGCGUCACACUUGUACUAUCAUCUCCUUCCAGUUGAAGGUACAUUUGUAAUUCAAAGAUGUUUAUGUCUAUGUCUGAUAGUAAUAUAUAAUUAUUUAUGUUAUCUUUUAUAUUCUCUACAUUUUAUUCUUCGUCACUGUAUAAUAAAUUUAUGAAGGCACGCUCUUCAUCACCUUCGUCCGAAAAUCAUUAUAUCCUAAGGGAAAUAAUGUUUCGAAGGACGAAGGACUUUAGCGAUUAACAUUUUUUAUGUUGCCUUGUUCUUAACUCCUAGCAUUUGAGAACAAGUCCCCAACAACCUGGGAAAUAAUUAAGCUUUGCAAGAUUUAUGCUACCGCUCAACUUUAUGAUUGUUAAUGUCACUCAUCAAUUGGUAUUAACGUUCCAAAAAUUUAAAUGGCAAUUAUGGCGUUAACCCGAUGGUUAAGAUAACAUUAUUUCGAAUUAAUUGGAACAUGGAGUGACCACCCAGGAUAACAGUGCAACCACGAGUCUAUCAUGGCUCUGGCUUUGGUAAUUAGCUUUAUAUGCUUAGUGCCUAACAACCUUACCUGAAAUAUGGGCAAGAGGGGGAGCGGUAGGUGCUGGCAGCCCACGUUAACAUGGGGACGUAUUCUUGGCUAAGGUACCUCACCCAGGGGGCCACCACCAUCGUCUUUAGAAACCUUAGCGGGUUGCAUCGUACUAAGUGUAUUUUGUGAAAGCCUCAUAAUGGAUCCCUAGCCAUUCACCUCGGCAGUGUUUAAGGGUCCGAUCAACCUAGGCUAGAUGGGAUACAUGGCUUGUGGGUAAUGUUGUACCACCUCUGCAGAGUGUAAAACUGAUAUAUCAGCCUUGAUUCCCGGUUAAGAGCGACCUGGACUCCUCAUAUGAUAAUUGAACUUGAAGAUAGAAUUAAAUUGAGAUCCGAUGAUCUGCCAAUAAUUUGCUUAAGUGGUUUCACUUAAGUGUUUUUGUUAUAUUCAUAUUCCUUUGUUUAAAUGGGAUAUUUGGGAUUCACAUUUAUUAGUAAGACAGGUGUUGUUAAUAAAAUGUUGACCAACUAAAAUGCUUACUGCUCAACCUUAGCCUCACCUUGUUAUACCUGCAUUAAUUUUUCCCCCACUUGCUGAGCCCCGACCAUAAGUGAGCUCAUCCUUGCUAAUAUUUUGAUCAGAGGGUGAUGCUGGAGACUUUGAUGGAGAUUUUAUCGACGACGAUGAAUUCUAAGUCUAACGAUGCGCCGGUCAUCUUCAUGUGGGAGAUUGCCCCUGUCAUUUAUUUCUGCUUUACUUUGAUGUGAUACUUGUUCAAGAUACAAUGAUGCAGAUGAUGUAAUAAAGUAUUAUACUCUCUCUUUACGCCUUUAUUGUAUUGUCUUUUGAUAUAUUACACUUGUGACGUCAACAUAUGUGUGGAAAUGGAUCCUGGCACACAUAUGGUAAGCGCUCGGUUCUACCCCCCUGGAACCGGGUGUGACAGAAGUGGUAUCAAAGCUAUGCUGACCCUAGGUCGUUAGACUAGUUAGAAAUGGAAAGCCUAGUUAUUCAAAACUUGCUAGUUUCAUUCUUAUAAAUUAUUUUAUCAGCGUUACCUCUUUAAAAUUUCAACUAAGUUGACUCUUCUCUUGUAGAUGGUUUGUACUCUCCAAACUACUCGCAUCAACACCAGCUACGCCCCUCCGCCCCGGCAGAUCCCGGUCUACCCCGUGGUAGUCGAGGAAGUUCCGGUGGAUCUCCCUCCCAUCCGAGUGGAGAAUGUAGUCAAUCUAGAGGAUAGCUCGGAGGAGCAGCUGUCGACGCCUACCCUGUUGGCAGAGUCCCUGGCCUUCGCAGCCAGGUCAUCAACGUCAGCACCGCCAGCACUAGCCUUCCAAGCACCUGCACCCGAAGGCGAUGACCCCGACGACUCCGGAGAUGACGAUGACGAGGAUGACGACGACGAAGAAGGUGGAGACGAACACGUCCAUGAGGAAGCUGACUACGCCCAGAAGGACUACUUCAUGGGGUUUGGUCCUGUUGUCGAACAUUAUACAUCAAUGUUCGAGACAGGGCACUUCCCCAACCUGCUGCAAGAAGUGCUGCACGCGCUAGGCACCUACGUCCGCCCCCUGUACGAAACAAGGCGAGUGAGCGAGCCUCCCCAGGCUUGCUACUACAUCACUCGCAUCCACGUCAGGGUGAUGGAUGCAGGGGACAAGGGAUUCAGGACUCUGUCUGCUCACGAGUCUCUGACACCACUGUCCACCUAAGCUGCCUCGGUCAGCGACGCUGCCCGUCGGACCCUGUGGUCGCUCAGCCACACCUACCGGCAGCAGCUUCAGAACACGAGGUUCAGGCAUCUUCCUCAGUGUCUGCGUGGAGGAAGUCGGACCAGCAUCGUCCCAGGUGAAGCUGGUGAGGAUCGCCUCAACACCCUAGCUGGUGUAGUGGCCGGUCUCAACACCGACCUGGAUAGUGCCACCCUGGAUCUCUUUAGGGUGCAUUUGGAGCUAGAGAAUGCCCAUGCCAGGAUUGCAGCCCUGGAAGCCCAACUGCAAGGACUGGAUCCGCCCGAAGCUCAGGUCCCCGCCAUGGCGUUGUCUCCUCCCCGCAAGAGGUUGCGCUAUGGGGAGCCCGAAUCCGUCACUAGGCUGCUUUAGCUAUUUUGAGAUAUGAUGUAAUAAGUUAUGCUUCGCGUUAGACGUUGAACACUCUUUUAAGUUAUCAUAUUAAUAAAUAACAACCAUGUGAUGGUGAUUGGUUGACAUGUUUGAUUUGGAUCUUUGUUUGAGUGCAAUGGUCUUAUGAAAUGAUGGCCAUAAGAACAUAUAAUUUUUUUAAACAUAAGCUAUUUCCCCUCCUGGAAUCUUUUCUACUCCUCACUUUUCUAAGGACUUCAUCUCCUAACCAAUCAGAUGGUGAACGCUCGUCAAGGACCCAACAACAACCGGAACCAGCGUGGUCAACAUAUACCACCACCACCACCGAAUCCCAAUAUGGAGUAGUUCAUUGCCGCCCAGAUGCAGAUUCUGCAAGGACUCACUUUGGCUAUUCAACAAAUUCAGCAGAACCAGCAGAACCAACAACAUCAGCAACAGCAACAGUAUGCACCCCCGGCCAGAGAUAAACACCGGGAUUUCAUGAGUCAUCACCCGCUGACAUUCUCUCAUGCGGUUGAUCCUCUGGAUGCCGAGACUGGCUCAAAGUCAUUGGAAAGAAGCUUGACAUCACCCAGUGCAACGACCGGGAAAAAAGUCUUGUACGCCUCGGGAAGACUCGAGGGUUCCGCAUCCGACUAGUGGGAUGCCUUCACAGCGGCACAUCCCAAUGCAGAUACAAUAACUUGGCAGGAGUUUCAAGAGAACUUCCACGCUCAUCACAUCCCCUCAGGAAUCAUGAAGUUGAAGAAGGAGUUCCUUUCCCUUACUCAAGGGAAUAUGUCUGUUAGUGAGUAUCGUGAUCGCUUCACUCAGCUUUCACGCUAUGCUCCGGAAGAAGUGGACACAGAUGAGGAGCACCAAGAGCGUUUCUUGGAAGGACUAAUUGGACCUCUGAAUUACCAACUUCAGAGUCAUACAUUUCCCAACUUCUAGACACUAUUGAAUAAGGCAAUUGGCCUUGAAAGCAAAAGAAAGGAAUUAUCUGACCAUAAAAGGAAGUUUCAAGGUCAGUCUAGCCGGAACACCCGCCCGAACAACGCUCAAGGUUAGCAGUUCCGCUCUAGAAAUCAAGGCAGAAGCAAUUAUCAGAUGCAACGCUCUGGACAGCAAGGCCAGAGAAAUAAUCAAAGCCAGAACCAGCAAAGGAGCAACUCCCAGACCAAUCAGAGGUCUGGUGGGAGUUCACAGAAUCGUCAAGGUGGCGCCAGUAACACGCAGGCCAGAAGCAACAACGCACCUGUCCAACCCAAUGGUUGUUUCAAGUGCGGUGAGCUAGGCCACUAUGCUAACAACUGCCCAAGGCGCAACCAGCAGACACCCCAGAAAAGCAAUACUCAGAGGAAUGACCAGAACACCCCUGCUCAUGGAUCUGCACAAAACAAGACUCCGCAGAACCAAAGUAGAGGAAGGGUCAAUCACGUCACCGCAGAAUCAGUGCCUGAGGAUGCCGACAUAGUGUAUGGUAUGUUCCUCGUUAACUCCAUACCUGCAUCAGUUUUAUUUGACUCUGGAGCAUCGCAUUCGUUUAUAACUGAGUCAUUUGUGGAAAAACACAAUAUACCUAAGUAUCCUCUUAAGAAGAUGUUACAUAUUAGUUCACAAGGAGGUGACAUGAAGGCCACACACUCAUGCCCCCAUGUUAAUAUCAAGAUUCAAGGAAUAGAUUUUUCAGUCGACCUAGUGGUCCUAGGAUCCAACGGUAUUGAUGUGAUUCUUGGAUGCGAUUGGUUGAAAAGUUGUGAUGGAGUGAUACAGUGUGCCAAUGGAACAAUUAUGUUGACAAGUCCUCAAGGUGAAAGAAUCCAAGUUAACAUAGACAAGUCAACAGAUGAAAAAGGGAAAACAGUGAUCAAUCACUUAGAAGAAAAGCCCUUGGAAAAUAUCAAAGUAGUGUGCAAAUACCUAGACCUAUUUCCGGAGGAAUUACCAGGUAUGUCACCCGACCGUGAUAUAGAGUUUUCUAUUGAAUUAUUACCUAGAACCGCACCUAUCACGGAAAGACCUUAUAGAAUGGAUGUCAAAGAUUUAGUAGAACUGAAGAAACAAAUAGAAGAAUUACUAGAAAAAGGUUUCAUUCGCCCGAGUUCAUCCCCUUGGGGAGCCCCAGUGCUAUUUGUGAACAAGAAGGAUGGUUCGAGGAGAAUGUGUGUUGAUUAUAGAAGUUUGAAUGAAGUAACCAUCAAGAAUAAAUACCCACUACCUCGGAUUGAAGAUUUAUUCGAUCAAAUGAAGGGAGCUAAGAUAUUCUCAAAGAUAGAUCUGAGAUCGGGAUAUCAUUAGUUAAAGAUUCGAGGAGAAGAUGUACCCAAGACAACCUUCACGAUGAGAUACGGAUUAUAUGAGUUUUUGGUCAUGUCGUUUGGACUGACUAAUGCACCAGCAUAUUUUAUGAACUUGAUGAAUAAAGUAUUCAUGGAAUAUCUGGAUCAGUUUGUGGUCGUAUUCAUUGAUGACAUACUGAUAUACUCUCCGAAUGAAGAAACACAUGAAGAUCAUCUAAGGCUAGUCCUACAAAAGCUUCAUGACAACCAACUGUACGCAAAAUUCUCGAUGUGUGAUUUUUGGUUGAAGGAAGUUGCUUUCUUAGGGCAUAUCGUUACCGAUGGUGGAAUUAAAGUGGACCCAGGAAAGAUAAGUGAGAUACUAGAUUGGAAGCAACCAAAGGAUGCGUCCAAGAUCAGAAGUUUUCUUGGAUUGGCAGGAUACUAUAGAAGAUUUAUUGAAGGUUUUUCCAAGUUAGUGAAACCUCUUACCUCUCUACUCGAGAAAGGUAAAGAGUUCAAGUGGGAUGAAGCUUGUCAGAAUUGUUUUGAAGAACUCAAGAAAAGGUUAACCACUGCACCAAUAUUGGUAAUGCUAGACAUCCACAAGGGAUUUGAUGUGUAUUGCGAUGCAUCACACCGUGGACUUGGAUGUGUGCUAAUGCAAGAAGGAAAAGUGAUAGCUUAUGCCUCAAGGCAGUUGAGGAAACAUGAGAAGAAUUAUCCUACGCACAAUUUGGAACUAGAUGCCGUAGUGCAUGCUUUGAAGAUUUGGAGGCACUAUAUGAUUGGAAACAAGUGCAAAAUCUUCACAGAUCACAAAAGCUUGAAAUACAUAUUCACUCAGAAAGAACUCAACCUCAGACAGAGAAGAUGGCUUGAAUUGAUUAAGGACUAUGAUUUGGAAAUACAAUAUCACCUAGGAAAAGCAAAUGUAGUAGCUGAUGCUUUGAGCCGUAAGGGUCAAGUGAACAACAUCACUACUCAUUUGAUGUCACAAGAAUUGUGCUGGGAAAUGGAACAACUCAACCUUGGUAUGCUCAAUAAUGUAGAAGCAACAGUUAUGGAAGUUGAGUCUACUUUGGAAGAAGAGAUUCGUAAAGGACAAGAGUCCGAUGAGAAAAUUAAGGAAAUUAAAGCUUUGAUUGGUUUGGGUAAAGCCCCAGAUUUCACGAAAGAUGAACAAGGCACAGUAUGGUUUAAGAAGAGAAUCUGUGUACCAGAAAUCGAACACUUGCGCCAACUUAUUUUGAGAGAAGCUCAUGAUUCCGCUUACUCUAUUCACCCUGGAAGUACAAAGAUGUACCAGGAUCUUAAGGAAAAGUAUUGGUGGUAUGGUUUGAAAAGAGAUGUUGCUACUCAUGUUGCAUUAUGUGACGUGUGUCAGCGAGUUAAAGCCAAACACCAAAGACCAGCAGGAUUGCUACAACCUCUCAAGGUACCUGAAUGGAAAUGGGAAGAAAUCAGUAUGGAUUUCAUAGUUGGACUACCCCGUACUCGAGAUGGCUAUGAUUCAAUAUGGGUCAUAGUAGACAGGUUGACCAAAGUGGCACACUUUAUACCUGUGAAGACAACUUACUCGGGAGCCCAGUUAGCAGAGUUAUACAUGUCAAUGAUUGUUUGUCUGCAUGGAGUACCGAAGAAGAUCGUAUCAGAUCGAGGAACCCAAUUUACCUCGCGCUUUUGGAAAAGACUACAUGAGUCCAUGGAUACCAAGCUAAAUUUUAGUUCAGCUUAUCAUCCGCAAACAGAUGGGCAAACAGAAAGAACAAACCAAGUGUUGGAAGAUAUGCUAAGAGCUUGCGCUCUAAAGCAUGGUAGAAGCUGGGAUAAAAGUUUGCCUUAUGCAGAAUUUUCGUAUAACAACAGUUAUCAAGCAAGUCUAAAAAUGGCACCGUAUGAAGCACUUUAUGGGCGAAAGUGUAGAACACCACUUUAUUGGAAUCAGACUGGAGAAAGUCAAGUAUUUGGUCCAGAAAUUCUCCAAGAGGCGGAAAAGCAAGUGCAGAUUAUCAGAGAAAAUUUGAAGACAGCACAGUCAAUACAGAAAAGCUAUGCUGAUAAUAGAAGAAGAGAGUUGAUGUUUGAAGUAGGAGACUUUGUAUACCUUAAAGUUUCACCAAUGAGAGGAAUGAAAAGGUUUAAGGUUAAGGGAAAAUUAUCACCUCGCUAUAUCGACCCAUUCAAGAUUUUGGAAAGAAAAGGUGAAGUAGCCUACCAAUUAGAGCUACCCGAUAGAUUAUCGGAUGUGCAUGAUGUAUUUCACGUAUCACAACUCAAGAAGUGCUUAAGAGUACCAGAAGAACAGUUACCCAUGGAAGAACUGAAUGUUAAUGAGGAUUUGACCUAUUCGGAGUACCCGGUCAGAAUUCUAGAAACAUCUCCCAGAAUUACACGGAGUAAAGCCAUUAACAUGUGCAAAGUUCAGUGGAGUCAUCAUUCAGAAGAUGAGGCCACUUGGGAAAGAGAAGAUGAACUCAGAACAGAAUUUCCCCAGUUAUUCUCGGAAGUUUCUUAAUCUCGAGGACGAGAUUCCUUUUAAGAGGGGUAUGUUUGUAACACCAUAAAAGCCAUCAAUUAAAAAUAAUGAAUUUAGUUAUUAUGUUAAUUAGGGUAAUAAUAUUUUUAAGUGUUUAAUUAUUUAUUUGCAUUUUGAUCGUUUUUUUAUAUGCGCUUGAUUAAUUAUCGGAUGUUUAUUAUCAAUUAUUUUUUAAAGAAAAUCGUAGUGAAUAAUAUAAUAAUUAAAUAAUAUAAUAAUUAUUAGUCUAAAAACAAGUAUUUUAUUUAUAAAUAGUUUUGGUGAAAUUUUAUAAAUUUUGAGCUAUCUAAAAAUGUAUUUCGGAAUUAGAAAAAAAAUUUCCUAAUCUAAACCGGCCCAACUAAGGGCCCAUCCCAAACCCUAACACCCGCGCGCGCUUGGCUGGCUCCCAGCUGAAGCCGCCGCCGCCUGCACUUUCUUCAUCCUCCUCUGUUCUCUCUCUCUCUCUCUCAAGCGUCUCCUCUCCUCUCUGCUCUCUCUCCACCGCUCCCGCCCAGCGCGCCUCGCAUCGCCGCUGCCAGGCCAGCUUCACCACGCCGAGCGCGCCCACCCGCAGCCGACCGCGCGCCCUGCCCUGCGCCUGCUCUUGCGCCCAGGCGCGCACGCCGCGACCCCGCCCAGGCAUGUCCCGCGCAGCAGCCGAGCCGCCGAGCACCCUGCACCACGCGCGCCCCAAGCCGGCUCGACGCCCCUGCGCCCCGACAUGAAGAUCUAGCCAGCCGCGCGACGCCCACGCGCACCCAACCGAGGCCGACCCGAGCCGCCAGCCGACCCUGCGUCUGCCCCACGCGUCCGUUCGAUUUCUCGCCGUUAAUGGAGCAUCAAAUCCUCCAUUACUCCCUCUCCCAUUUCUCUCCAUUACUCUCGUUAGAAACUGACGCAUGUGAUGGCCAUUGAAGACCACCGGCGACCUCUCCUCUCUUUCCUGCUCCCUAUAAAAGGCAGCAGAGCCUCUCUUCAUUUUUCCCCUACCCAAGCUCGCCCCCAUCUCUCUCACUCUCAUCGCCGUUAGAACCACCGCCGCCGUCGUCGGAGUUCGCCAGAGUUUGUCAUCGCCGGAGCUACGCCAUCCGCCGUGCGUAGUCGAGCCCCUGCUCUUCUCCAUCCGGCCGAAACCCCGUCGAACUCUCUCCGUCACACAUGCGAACCCAAGGUUGAAGACGACCCAAAUUAUUUUGUAUAUUUUAUAAAAUACUUUUUUUGAUUCGAUUCAUGAAUUGUAUAUUUAGUUUGUUGUAAUAUGAACACGUGUGAUCCAUAAUUUAUGUGUAUGUGCGUUAUGGAAUUUUUGGUAGAGAUAUGCGAUCGUUAGUACACCGUGAUAUUUCAUGUUAGUCGUGGCGUUGAUUUUUGGAUUAGAAAAAGAUGACAAAAUUUAGUAGUCACACGUUGGUGAUAAAAACAAUAGAUAGAAACUUUGUUGUCAAAUUUGGUCACAAGGAACUUUAGAAACUUUUUGGAGAAUUAUAGUCAUAGGUGUAUUUUAAUGGAUUUAGAAAAUGGUAUAAAACUCAUGUCAUAUGAAUAAUUUGAGUUAGAAAUAAAAAGGAUAAAAGCUAUUAAUUUAUUUAUUAGUAUUAAAGAGGAUAAUUAUCAUUUAAUUUCAUUGAUGAUGUUAAAAUAUAUUAAUACUAGUUAAAACUGUAUUUAUUGCACCCACUCAUAAAUUCAUCAUUAGGACUCACAAUAAUAACUAUAAUUGAAUUAAUAAGUAUUUACGAGUUUAGGACGUAUUUAAGGUGUGAUAAGUGCGAUAUGUUAAUAUGCAUGUAAUGGUGUAUGUUUAUGAAAUGGUGCGUGUUUAUUUAUUGGUGUAUGCUUUCUUUUUGUAUGGCGACGUGUAACGUUAUUAGAGGCUGACAGUGUGGUAGACGAACCAAAUUCGUUCGAGGACGAUCCGUAGGACGCAUUUGAGCAAGGCAAGUGGAUUCUCCCUCUGCAUAUUCUUUUUGUACCCACUCAUUGCAUAUAAUAAUGUUUACUUUUAAUAUACUGCAUAAUUUGAUGGGUUUUACCUAAUUAAGGAUUUUCUAGAUUUAUCAACUGUAUUCCUUGUUUAACCUAGUAAAUAAUUAAGCUUUGCAAGAUUUAUGCUACCACUCAGGAUAACAGUGCAACCACGAGUGCUAUCAUGGCUCUGGCUUUGAUAAUUAGCUUUAUAUGCUUAGUGCCUAGCAACCUUACCUGAAAUAUGGGCAAGAGGGGGAGCGGUAGGUGCUGGUAGCCCACGUUAACAUGGGGACAUAUUCUUGGCUAAGGUACCUCACCCAGGGGGCCACCACCAUCGUCUUUAGAAACCUUAGCGGGUUGCUUCGUACUAAGUGUAUUUUGUGAAAGCCUCAUAAUGGAUCCCUAGCCAUUCACCUCGGAAGUGUUUAAGGGUCCGAUCAACCCAGGCUAGAUGGGAUACAUGGCUUGUGGGUAAAGUUGUACCACCUCUGCAUAGUGUAAAACUGAUAUAUCAGCCGUGCUCCCGUUAAGAGCGACCUGGACUCCUCACAUGAUAAUUGAACUUGAAGAUGGAAUUAAAUUGAGAUUCGAUGAUCUGCCAAUAAUUUGCUUAAGUGGUUUCACUUAAGUGUUUUUGUUAUAUUCAUAUUCCUUUGUUUAAAUGGGAUAUUUGGGAUUCACACUUAUUAGUAAGACAGGUGUUGUUAAUAAAAUGUUGACCAACUAAAAUGCUUACUGCUCAACCUUAGCCUCACCUUGUUAUAACUGCAUUAAUUUUUCCCCCACUUGCUGAGCCCCGACCAUAAGUGAGCUCACCUUUGCUAAUAUUUUGAUCAGAGGGUGAUGUUGGAGACUUUGAUGGAGAUUUUAUCGACGACGAUGCAUUCUAAGUCUAACGAUGCGCCGGUCAUCUUCGUGUGGGAGAUUGCCCCUGUCAUUUAUUUCCGCUUUACCUUGAUGUGGUAGUUGUUCAAGAUACAAUGAUGCAGAUGAUGUAAUAAAGUAUUAUACUCUCUCUUUAUGCUUUAUUGCAUUGUCUUUUGAUAUAUUACACUUGUGACGUCAACAUAUGUGUGGAAAUGGAUCCUGGCACACAUAUGGUAUGCGCUCGGUUCUACCCCCUGGAACCGGGUGUGACAACGAUAAGACAGGAGCUUGGCGAAGACGUGGAGAUCCGGAAACCUGAAGGUGCCCACCCAAAGCAUUCACGCUGAGUGAACCACCCGGCUGCACCUGUUGAAGAGAAGAAGAAAAGAGGCGACCUCAGCGACUGUCAUGCAAGGAUCAGGAUGCUGGUCCUUCUACGCCGAUCCUUGGUGACAGCUUGGUGGAUGCCAUUCCCAAGGUCAACAUUGAAGGUUGUGAUGAUGCGCAAGUUGCAAGCGGUAUGUUUGACGAGGAUGAUGAAGAAGAAGAGAUCCCGCUGAUCCGCAAUAACAGCCGUCACUAUAGAGGCAGCGACGGGGCAGCGAUAUUACCUCACAAGCUCUGUCGGCACCCGUAAGUCUUCAGGGGCUUUCUAUGUCAGAUUUUGAUCAGGCACUGGAAGAGGUUAUUCCUAAAGACAUAUUAUUGGAGCCUCUAGAGGCUGACAUUCCAACCAUCUGUUCAGAGGUUACAGAUGGUGAACUUUCGCUGCUUGAUUUUGCCAGGCAAGAGGUAACCCGGGUGGUGUCCCGCGCAUCGUUGACCUUGGAGAGCAGUCUUCCAUGCAAAGACACUAAUCCGAGUCAUCCAACUCCCAUGGAAGUGGCUGAGGAGCCUUCAGCCUUAGAGGUGGCUGCUGCAGAAGACCCAUCCACCGAGGGUGGCGCUGGUAGCUACCCAGCCCUCAAGGGUGUUGUCGGUAGCAACCUAGCCCCUGAGGGUAGUGCUAGCGGUAAUCUAGCCCCGAGGGUGUUCAGGCAUGCUCUCUCUCUACUGCUUCCAUUGACGUCCACAUCGGGUCACCCCCAAUCCGGUCCGAGGAGGUGACAACGAUAGGUGCUUCUACAGCUUUAACUGGCCAAAUUGCCUUAGAGGUCGGUGAGCCAGACGCCAGGAGCCUGCUGCCUCCUGGUGGGGCUGAGGCCACCCUGAGUCGUGCUCUUGAGAUUGUCCCUGCUGAUCUUCCCUCAUCAAGCCAUGUACUAGCUCUUCCUGCGUUGGGUCUUCCACUAUUCCUUUCUAAUCGUCAGGUGAAUCAACCUUUAGCUCUUUAUUGUUCAUACUGGUGAAUUAUCUUUUUUGCUUAUCUAUCUAUGACCACAAGAUUUUGUUGAUGUUGUAUCCGCCCAAUUGAGAUCUUGUGGCGUUGUUGUUCCCGAUCAAGCUUUAUCUCUGAUGCAAUGGAACCCUCUGCUGCUCUAGAAAUAGAUAGAUGAUUUGAAGGCGUCGAAUGCUGGUUAGUGAGCUCACGGUUUCUCUAGUUGCUUUAAUUGCUUAGCUUGUCUUUAAUCACAUGUUCUCUUCUAGUUGCUUUAUCAUAUAUGGCUCGGCGGUGCUCUGACUUUGAAGAGAAGUACUUUCAGAGUUAGGCCGAUCUAGCCUAGACUUCUGCCUUUUUGGAUAUUGCACAUUCCCUGAAUUCUUCUCUGAAUGCCCAGCUUGAUUCUGAGAGGAUGGCACAUGAAGUAAACUUCCUUGGCUGACCCUGCUCUGUUAUUAUUGCUUUAAUGCUGAAUGUUGUUUUCUGCUUGUAGGAGGAGAAACGAGCACUUGUUGCCUCUCGUGACAAUCUAGACAGGCUGUACCGUGACGCUAGUAACUCCUUGACCAUCCUGGAGAGGAGCCACCGCUUCACCAUGUCUGACCUAGACCAUCACCGCCAUGAGCUGCAGGCAUCUCAGGACGAAGUUCUACGACUUGGACAACUGUUGUCGACCAAAGACUCCACCAUCUGCGUGCCUCCAAGAAACUUGUCGCGCAGGAGCUAGAGGCCGCUCAACUUGCUGUUAAAACUCUAGAGAACAAUUGUGUCAUCUUGAAGGCUCAGCGCGACAAGGCUAUGAAUAAAGCCGUUCACGCUGGACGGAUCCUGAUGAGGAGACCCGGCGUUGUAGUGCCCAAUGAUAUUGUUGCUGAUGUUAGGGCUGCGCCUGACGCUGCGAGCCGUCCAUCCUCUUCUGUUGCCCCUGCGAAAGAAGAUGUAGGCAAGGACACUUCGACGUAGUGACUCAUUGUAAAACACUUAUUUAUCAAGCUAGCAUCUUUUAGAGGAAAGAUGUAAUAUGGAUCCUAAAUGUCCGCAGUAGUUAUGUUAGAACUUGAUUAUUCCGUGUGCAGGGUGCUGGAAAACAACCCUCGCACUCGUAAGCGGAAUAUUUUCUUUUUUCGGAGUGUUCUCAGUUUGUGUUGGUUAUUCUUCUGCUAGGGUUCAGUGGUCACCCUAAAUAAUACGAAAGCAAGUAUACCGCGCUGGUUUAAGGUGCUUCUGACUUAAGCCGGUCGCUUCGUUGGUAGGGCAUAGUGGUCACCCUAAGUCAAGUAAGCAUGAGCAUGUCGCACCGACUUAAGUAAUCGCCGACUUAAGCCAAUUGCUCCGUUAGUAGGGUAUAGUGGUAACCCUAAGUUAAGUAAGCGUGAGGAUGUCGCACCGACUUAAAUCGUCGCUGACUUAAGUUGAUUGCUCCGUUAGUAGGGUAUAGUGGUCACCCUAAGUUAAGUAAGCGUGAGCAUGUCGCACCGACUUAAGUCAUCACCGACUUAAGACGAUUGCUCCGUUAGCAGGGUAUAGUGGUCACCCUAAGUCAAGUAAGCGUGAGUAUGUCGCACCGACUUAAGUUGUCGCCGACUCAAGCCGAUUGCUCCGUUAGCAGGGUAUAGUGGUCACCCUAAGUCAAGUAAAUGUGCCGAUUUCAAGUUAAGCCCAAUCGAAGUCAGUUGCAAGUUGAGAAUCUGAAUGUCUUUGGAAAAUGAAAACUUUAUUGAUGAUGAAGUCUUCAGAUUACAGAGCACAAUAUUUCUUCAAGAGUGUUUUAAGACCUUGCUAAGGGUAGAACUUUCUGAGGUGUUCUAUGUUCCACGAGUUCCCCACUUUUGUGCCAUCCAUCUGAUUAAGCCGGUAUGAUCCCAGCCGUGUGACUUCUGAAACGAUGAACGGUCCUUCCCAUAGUGGUGAUAACUUGUGUCGUCCCUCCCCAGUUAGAAUUCGGCGGAGGACCAAGUCUCCCACUGCAAAGGAUCAAUGUCGCACAACUUUGCCAUGGUAGCGCCUCAAGGUCUGCUGGUACCUGGCCGACUGAAUUAUUGUGUUCAAUCGUUCUUCCUCCAGCACAUUAAUGUCUUCUAGCCUGGUUGCUUCUGCUUCAGCUAUGUUUUCAAAAGUCAACCUUGGUGCCCCCAAAGAUUAGAUCGGCAGACAGCAUUGCCUCCGACCCGUAAACCAUGAAGAAUGGGGUGUUUCCAUGCAGAGCUCGACUGGGUUGAGUUCACAUGCUCCAAACCACGUAUGGUAGUUCUCUGAUCCAUUUUCCUGCAAGCUUUUCGCUCUUAUCGAAUACCUUCUUUCUGAGUGCCUCCAGUAUCAUUCCGUUGGCUCUUUCCACCUGGCCAUUGGCUCUUGGGUGUGCCACUAAUGCGUACUUAAUCUGGAUGCUUCUUUGCUCGUAGAAAUCAAAGAAUUCAAAGCUGGUGAAGUUGGAUCCCAGGUCAGUGAUGAUGCUAUUCGGUAUCCCAAACCUGAAUAUUAUGUCUUGGAUGAACUCUAGUGCUUUGGCUAAGGUUAAAGAGGCGAUUGGCUUGUACUCUAUCCAUUUUUUGAAUUUGUCAAUGGCAACCAGUACAUGAGUAUAGCCUCCCUGAGCCUUCUUGAAGGGUUCGAUCAUGUCCAGCCCCAGCAUGCAAACGGCCAGGUUACAUGAAUGGUCUGCAGCUGCUGCGCGGGCAAGUGAUGUUGCUUUGACAAGAACUGACAUGCUUCACACUUCUGGACUAACUCAGUAGCAUUACUCUUCAUAGUUGGCCAGUAGAAACUAGAUCUGAAAGCCUUCCCAACUAGAGUCCUUGAUGUAGCAUGUACCCCACACUGCCCAGCAUGGAUUUCAUCUAACAAUUGUCUCCUAGUAGCCGAGUGAAUACAUUUCAUGAAGACUCCUCCGGCGCCUCUCCUGUACAGUGAGCCCCCUAUGAUGUUGAGUGGGUUGAUUGUCUUGCGAUGCGCUCUGCUACAGCUUUGUCAUCCGACUCUUCUUCAUUCUUUAUGUACCUAAUGAUAGGCUCUCUCUAGUCAUUGGAAUCUGCCUCUGGUUGGCUCAAGGCGUUGCAUUCCCCCGCUUGAUCCGAAAUGAUGCUCGGUUGUGAUAUUUCUUGGACAAAAAUCUCGGGUGGAGCCUAGGCCCGACUGGAUCCUAGCUUCAACAACACAUCUGUUGUUGCGUUGCGGUCUCUUUCCACGUGAUGGAACUCCAAUCCCUCGAAUUCGUCUUCCAACUUUCGCACGGCUGCGUAAUACUUCCCCAUCGAGUCAGUCGAGCAGUCCCAGUCCUUGUUUAUCUGACUUAUGACCACCAGUGAGUCACCAUAUACCAUCCGUUUCUAGAUGCCGAGUGACACGGCGAUGCUCAGCCCAUGGAUUAGUGCUUCAUACUCUGUCGCAUUAUUCGAUGCUGGAAACAGCAGCUGGAGUGCAUACUUGAGUUGCUCACCUCUAGGAGCAAUGAAGAGAAUCCCUGCACCUGCUCCUUGCAGCUUCAAUGAGCCAUCAAAUUACAUUCUCCACACCUCAGUAGCUUCUAGGCUAUCUGGGACCUGUGCUCAGUCCAUUCUGAUACGAAGUCGACUAGCGCCUGAGUCUUUAUUGCCGUGUGGGGCCGGAACUCUAUGUCAUGAGCUCCCAGCUCGCACACCCACUUGGCUAUCCUUCCAAUAGCUUCUUUGUUGUAGAGAAUGUCUCCUAUCGAAAAUCCUAUGACUACUAUGACUUUGUGGUCGUCAAAGUAGUGAAGGAGCUUGCGAGUGGUUAGGAGUACCGCGUACAACAGCUUCUGGACUUGAGAAUACCUUAUCUUUGAGGGCCCGAGGACUUCACUGGUGAAGUAGACUGGAUGUUGCACCGGGUAUGCAUGUCCUUCCUCCAUCCGCUCGACUACUAACGUGGUGAUUACCAUGUGAGUUGUGCAGGAGAUAUAUAGUAGCAGAUCUUCCACCGACUGAAUCGGCGUAGCUUGGUGCGGCGGCUUGAGUAUUGGUGGUGUGGUCAAGAACUUCUUCAGUGCCACUAGAGCUUCUUGUGCCUCUAUGGUCCACUGAAACUUCUCCACCUUUUUGAGCAAUUUGUAGAAUGGCAUGCCUUUCUCGCCUAGCCCUGAUAUGAACCUGCUUAGGGCUGCCAUGCAUCCGGUAAGCCUUUGCACCUUUUUUGUGAUCGUGGCGCUUCCAUUCUCAUGAUGGUCUUGAUCUUUUCUAGAUUAGCUUCAAUUCCUCGGUGACUGAUAAUGAAUCCGAGCAACUUUCCUGCCGAUACCUUGAAGACACAUUUUCUGGGUUAAGCUUCCACCGGUAGCACCUUAGGCUGUUGAAGACCAGCUGCAAAUCUUCGAUGAAGUUUUCCGAGUUUUCUGUUUUGAUUACCACAUCGUCGACGUAGGCUUCUACCUGCUUGCCCAGUGAUCGGCUAAGCAAGUUUGGAUGGCUCUCUGGUAAGUCGCUCCUGCGUUCUUGAGGCCGAACGACAUGGAGGUUUAGCAGAAGGCUCCAAAUGGGGUGAUGAAAGCAGUAUUCUCCUCAUCUUCUUUUGCUAAGCUGAUCUGAUGGUAUCCAGAAUAGCAGUUUAGGAAGGACAACAUAGAACAGCCAGCAGUCGAGUUAACUACUUGAUCUAUUCUAGGAAGUCCGAAGGGAUCCUUCGGACAAUGUUUGUUGAGAUCAGUAUAAUCGACGCACAUGCGCCAAUCUACUUUAUUCGUUUUGAGUACAAGAACGAGAUUUGCUAGCCACUUGGGGUGCAAUACCUCCCUAAUGAACCAUGCAGCCACUAAGCAGGCUAACUCUGUGCGAAUAGCUUCUCUUUUAUCAGGCGUGAAACGACACAGCUUUUGUCGAAUCUGCCUGGCUUGAGGAUAGACCUUCAAUUUGUGCUUGGCCAGCUCUCUCGGUACUCCCGGCAUAUCCGUAGGUUGCCAUGCGAAUACGUCUCGGUUAUCUUGCAGGAACUGGACGAGCGUGCUUUCCUAUUUGUCGUCGAGGAUGGAACUGAUGAUGGCAGUCUUGCGCUCAUCGGUGAAUCUGAGGUUGAUCCUCUUAGUCUCCUCAAUCGGCUGUAUAGAGGUCACGACUUGUGCUUCGUUAGUGGGUAUUGUGAGAUCCUCCUCCGUCUUGAUGUCUGCCUGCACGGGGGGAGCUAUCGGGGGUUUGGCAGUGAGGGCUGCCUGGAUGGCUCCCCGAAAGCACUCCGCGGUGCCUUGGAAGUUAGCGCGCAUGAUGAUGAUUCCUUGGGGUCCCGACAUCUUCAAUAUCAUGUAUGAGUAGUGUGGAAUGGCCACGAACUUUGCCAGUCCUGGUUCGCCGAUGAUGGCGUUGUACCCGCAGUCAAAGCAUGCCACCUCGAACCUCAGGAACUCGGUUCUGUAGUUUUCCGGAGUCCCAAAGGUGACGGGCAUGUAGACAUGCCUGAGUGGGUACUCUCCUUUGGUCGGCACGAUACCAAAGAAGGGUGUAUCUGACUCGGUGAUGUCUUUGAGUGCAACCCCCAAGGCUAGGAGCAUCCAGGGGAAGGUGACGUUAAUGCUACUUCCCCCGUCCACUAGUACUUUCUUCACCCUGCUCUCUCAGAUCACCAGAUCAACGAGGAGCGGGUACUUGCCGGGGUGGUCGAAGUUGAGCCACUGAUCUGCUCGGCUGAAGGUUAUUGCAUGCUCUGACCACCGAUAAGGAGCUGGGGCACUAGUGGUUGUCGCCAGGACUUGCCGGUCAUUGAGCUUCUACUGCCUCCUGCUCUCCUGCAAUCCGUGUCCUUUGAAGAUGACGUUGACUUCCCUGUCAACGCGUGGGAGUGCUCCACCCCCUCUCCUUCUGGUUGUUGAGGUUGCCUGGGCUCGCCGGGACCUCCUCAUGGUGGGGGAGAUGGUAGAGGCUAGAACAGUAGGCUAUGUCUGAUGGAGUGCUUGAAGUCCCUACAGUUCCGUAGGGUGUGGCGCAUAUUCUUGUGGUAGAGGCACUAGGUGUCGAGGAUGUCAUCCAGUGUCUGUUCGCCUCCGUGGGGCGUACCUCGGGCUCGAGCAACGGGUGGUCCAUUGGCAUGUACCUGCUCACGAGGCCUCUUCUCCCAGCGCCUGUCAGGUUGCUGGUUCGUGUCGCGUCGUGGUGCCGGUUGUGUAGGUUUUGUACCUCCAAUGAGGUCCUGGGCCUGCUCGUCAGUGGUGAUGUAGAGGUCUGCCUCUCGAAAUAGUUGCUCAGAGGUGGUCGACGCUUCCUGCAGUAUGGCUCGGACGAAGGCCGAGUCAUUGGAUCCUCGAUAGAAAUCUUCAAUCACCGCUGCCUCGGUGACUUCGGGGAUGCGGUUUCUCAUGGUCUGAAACCUCUUGAGGUAUGACCGAAGUGUUUCAUCGCCCUGGCACCUGAUGGAUUUGAGGUCCCAUGGCUGCGUCGGCUUAUCAGAGAGAGACUGGAAGUUGGCGAUGAACCAUCGACUGAAGUCGCUCCAAUCGUCGAUGCAGUGUCGUGGCAGAUGUCAUAGCCACUGUAGUGCAUCUUGCCCUAGAACGAUGGGCAAAUAUGCCAUCAUUACAUCUUCUAUUGCCCCAGCGGCCCGAGUGGCGGUCGUGUAGACGACCAACCAACCCCCGGGUCCUGCUUAGGCUCAUACUUGUCGACAUUGGAGACUUUGAAGUUAGGGGCCCACUGGAUGGCCCGAAGAUGCGGAGUAAGCAUGGAGACUCCACAUGUGUCUUCUUGUCGGUGUUCAUGACGUUGGUCCCGGGGAGGGGAGUCAGUGAUGUGUCGUCUCGAACAUCCCUGGAUCGGGCCACUAGUUGAGGCCACAGCCGACUCAACUCGGGUGGUGUGACUUCGAGCCGGGACACCGUGAUCCCGGUCAUACUCCUCCCUGUGCCUUAUCUCAUUUUCAUGUUGUUGGUUGCGUGAAGCGUUGAUAGAGCUCCGCGCAUCUCGUCGACUGUUGAUGGCGUGUCGUAAGUCGCUCGGGGAUGAGCGAUAGGUAGAAGGUGGUUAGCAGCCCGAGUAAGCAGUCGCCGAUAACCUUCAGCGUCUGGAAUUCGCGGGAGGCCAUCAGCUAUCUAGGCCAGCACUCCUCCGACUUCGCUUGGCGUGUUCAUUGCACGGGCGAAGUCAGGGAUCAGGUUUCGAGCAAAGAGGGGAUUCUCUCGGCGCAACCUUGCGCCCUGCUCUGCUUGUUCUCGCUCUCGGUCCUGAGCUUGUCGGCGAUCACACCUUGCGCCCUGCUCCGCUUGUUCAUUGCGCGGGCGAAGUCAGGGAUCAGGCUUUUCUCGGUAUACUUGCUCGUUGAGAGUUUCUCCCACUUCUGAAACUUCAUCCCGGGAUACGAGCUGCGCUGGGUCCUGCUCCUAAGCCUCGUGAUGUCGCCGAACAUUCCGGCAUCUGUUCCUUCGUCGCCGUGCUUCACGCUGGGGAGGUUCUUCCCCUUGCACGGUCGGCUCAUCGUCAGAGAUGGGAGACGAUUCCAAUCUCCCCCUGAUGAAGAGGAUGUCGGGGUAGAAAGGAGCUACCGUGAUGGCGUGUUUCCGUCCUUCUUUGAGGGCGAAGGUGUCAGAAAGAUAACUCGGGGAGACUCUGUCCCUUUUCUCAGGAUGCUUGCCUCUUUCUUUCUCAUAAUCUGCGUCCACUCCUUUGAGGGCGAGGUGGGCAGAGGAGUUCUUCGGGUAGGUAAAUUCCCGAUUUUUGGCUUGUACGAGGUAAUCUUCGCUUGAGGCGCAGGAGGCCGUGCUAUCCAUCGUCUUACUCCGGCUUUCCUAGGGAUCUCCGAGGAAAACUUCUUCUUCGGCGGAUCUGCUAUGCGGUGUAGAGUUCCUUUCUCAUCUGCUAUGGACGAGAUGGUUUCGAAGCAGAACACGAAUCCAGGGCGAAGAGCGAUCUUGCACUAGAAUGUAACGGCCAUUGAGCUAGCUUGGAUCAACGACACACCUCCUACCUGGCGCGCCAGCUGUCGGUGUUUAGAGUCCGACCGCACACAUAGGGUUACCCCUCGCGGUGCUUUUGGAUAGGACGAUGUUGUUGACUGUAACUCAAUGGUUCGUGUGGGACACACGAGAGACGACAGACAAUUUUCUGCAGGUUCGGGCCGCUUGGAGAGGUGUAAUACCCUACUUCCUGGUGUGGAUCUUUAUGUAGUAGGUUACAAGGGAAGUCUACAGGAUGGAGAAAAGCUAAUGAGAUAGGUAGAUGGUCGAUCGAUGGAAAUGAAAGGGUACCCCCUGGCCUUAUAUAUUCGACUGUAGGACACUCCUUGCGUACAUGAGUGGAUGCAUAUCCCCUAGAUAAUAGUGAACUGACCGAAGAGAACUUCCCAUAACCCUGCCGACUUAUCCCUAAUCCAUCCCUAUAUUCGAGGACGCCAUGCGCGGGAAAGUCGGGUGGUUGCUGUGGAUAGCGCAUAAGCUAACGGGUUGCAUGGGCCUGAGUAUGCUUCUUCCUUGUGUUGGCCUACUCCACCGGUAGUUCUGAUCCAACCCACAAAGGAAUGGCCUCACGAGGUAACUGGUCCAAGGCCCCACGCGAGGCUUUCUUGCCUUCUAGUGGACUCAGGGGAUAUCUGUCCCCCACAAUAAAUACCAUAGAGGAUAGAGUUAAGACAGGACCUGCAAGUGGAAAAGAAGAGGGUACGUCCAAGGGCCAGAUAGGAAAAUCGCCACUCUCAAAUUGAGGUGGAAGAGAGGAGAUUUUUUAAAAAAGUAGGAAUAAAGAUGAGUAUCAAGGCAAGAUCAAUGGAUGACAAGGUGAUGGUGAUAGCAAAUAAAAACACAACAAAGGGUGUGUUGGGGGCCUUCGGCUUCCGAAGGUCCUCAAAAACAUGAUUUAACAAUGUUUCUGGAGUAUAAUACAUGGACAGGUACCUUCGGACUUGGAUCAAGACCAAAGUGUGAAGAAGUACAAGGAAUACGAAGGAUGGUGCAGAGCUGAAGCUAUGCGCAGGGGAGCUUCGGCAUGAUAGCAGAAAAGGAAACCGACUUAAAGAUGAAAAGGCUAUUUAGACCUCGAUGGAUUGCUAUAGAGUUAUUAGCAAAUGAAAAGGGCAUGGGUGUAAUUUUACAUGGGCUACGUCCCGUGCCUAUAAAUAGAUGAACAGUGCUCCUGUACUGUUUACGCUGACUUGGCAUUUGCUUUUGCGUCACGCUUGUACUUUCACCUUCUUUCAAACCGAAGGUACAUUUGUAAUUUGAUAUCAUUUCUAUUUUCCAUAAUAAUGAAAUAGAAAUGAGUUGAUAAUAAUACAUUAUUGUUUAUGUUGUCUUUUAUAUCUCAUAUGAUCCCUUCUUCAUUUUUAUGUGUUAUGCUGAUGAAGGUAUGUCCUUCAUAACCUUUGUCCGAACAUCAUUAUAUCCCAAGGGAAAUAAUGCUUCGAAGGACGAAGGGCUUUAACGUUUAUCAUUUUCUGUGUUGCCUUGUUCUUAAUUCAUAGCAUUUGAGAACAAGUCCCCAAUAGGGUGGAAUUAAGAAAAAACUUGUAAGGAGACAAGGAGUGAAAAGAGAUCAAGGGAGACAUAGGUAACUCACAACUCUCAAACUGGGUUGAAAGAAAGGGGAGGCUUUUAAAGGAUAGGUUUAAGGUAAGCAUGUAGGUAGAAGACAUCAAUAUCGCAAGGGUCAAAGGCGAUAAUAGAUAAGGGUAUCAGAGAAAAGAUGAAGGCAUUGAAGAGCCAGUGGUAUGAGUACAACAAAGAAUGGAGUCACGUUUAGGCUUACACGCAGUAAAGAAGAGGAUGUUGCCAAUGGUGAGAUAAGUAAAACACUGCUCUCAAAUUGGGAUAAGAGAUUGGAGAUUUUAGAUAAUAGACAUAAUGUAAUCACCAAGGUAUGGUCGAGAGAUGGGAAAGGUGAAGGCAACACCAAACAGAAGCACAACAAAGGAUGGGGUUGGAAACUCGCAAGCGACGAGGAAGAGGAUACGACCAAGAGAAAAUAGGUAAAAUACAACUCUAAAAUUGAGAUGGAAGAGAGAAGGUUCUAGAGGACAUGUAUAAUAUAAGCUUCAGGGUAUGAUAUAGAUGUGACAAGGGUAAGGAUGAAAAUUGUGAAAAGCAUAACCAAGGAUAAAGUUAAGGCAAGUCUCGCGAAGUGGCGAAGUGGAGAAAACAAUCAACGGUAAGAUAGGUAUGGUUCCAACGGAAGAGUUGAAGUAAAAAUUCAUUGCCGAGUGGAGUUACAAGGAGACAACGAGAUCACUAAGGAUAUGCAAAGUAAAAAUGACUGCUCAUGGAUCAUUAAGAAACAAGGGUAGUUAAGGACAUAUAAACUGAAAUGUUUUAAAUAGACAUUAGGAAAUAAAGGUAAGCAUAUAUAAAAAGUUGAGAUUAUGCAAGAUUUUCAAGGAUAUGAGCAUACCAAGACCAAGAGUAGAAAUUUUCGAAGGAUAGCGACUUAACAACAGAUUAAGAAAGGGUCUCAAAAGACAGGAAGGUCAUGGACAUAUAAACUGAAAUGUUUAAGUUGGUUGCAAAGAUUCAAAGGUAAGUAUUUGAAUGAAGGGAUAAGGGUAUUGAAGAAUCUAAGGAUACGAGCAUGUCAAUAUCAAGGGAAUAAAUAUGGUCAAAUGGUAGCAAUUUAAUGAUGGAAGAGUAAAGAAUCCCAAAAGACAAAAAGGUUAUGGAUAAAGGGCGUCUACAAAGAUGUCGCAAGCACAAGAGUGAGAUGAGAUCUAAUAGAUUGAGGAAAGUAUAGACCGUAUUAGAAUAAAAUACUUUUGGCAAGGUGAUAUAUAGGAGCACAACAUAAAUUAGUCGAGGUGACUAAUAUUUUGAAACAACAUCAAGGAUGAGGUGAAGUAAUAGUCAAUAAGUCUUUAAAUGGCAAAUGCUACUCUAGGCUAGCGGUCCUACAGUCAGCCUGGCUUUGAUACCACUUAUGUCACACCCGGUUUUAGAAGGCAAACUGAAUGCGAACCAUGUACGUGUCAGGACUAGAACUCACGCACACAACGAUUAUAUAAAUGACUCAUCAUAGCACAAUGCUUCAAAUAACAAUAAAGAGUAAGUAAUAAUAUUAUAGACUAGAGUCAUUUACAUAAUAUAAAUCAAAGUGCACAUAAUAGAAACAUAGCCAAUGUAAAUAAACCCACCAUAGACAGUCGACUGGUGGAGGUCGCUAGCCUAAUCCUCAAACUCAUCGAAGUUCUGGAACUCCUGAAGAUCUGCCUCGAUGCCUUCUUCUUCUUUACCUAAGCACAGGUUGCACCAAAGGCAACCUUGUGUUUUGUGAAAGCAAGGGUGAGUACACAUCAACGUACUCAACAAAUGUUCCGUUUGGCUGAGGUGGACUAGCUUUAUGUGGAGUUAGGCUUAAAGCAGUUGCUUUUAGUUCGUCAGGUAUUUAUUAUUAAUAGAAGCCAAGUUUUAGCAAUAACCAGCCAUAAACCAUUUCCUCUUCGAGGAACAUCAUUAUCAUCAUUGAAGCCAAAACCAUCAAUAAAACCACUGUAUCUCAGAUCAUAUGUAUCUCUAAUCAAAAGAGCUCCCAAGGCCGCUCAUAACUGUGAGCACGGUUGAUAUAUCAGUUUCAUUCCUCUGCAGAGGUUGCACAUUUUACCCAUGAGUCGUGAUUCCCUUUCUGCCUGAGGAGCGCUACUCCCCAUUGAUCACUACCUAGGUGAUCUGGCACAGUAUCACUAUGUAGCCUUUACAAAGAACCCCGAAGGUAUAGCUGCCCGUUAGGUUUCCUAAAUGCACCACACUCCUCCCCAAGGGGCAAACCACCCUCGACAGAGUGAGCCGCGUACACCGAGCCCCAUUGACAGUACGACAGCGAAGCGAACAAUACCUCAGUUCCUCUAAUUAAUUGGCUAAAGACGUCCCAUUCCACCCUCAUGGCUGCACUAUUUUCCCGGGUGGUCAUCCAGCGAAUAGUCCUUAUGGAGUGGUACUCGGGAAACAGCCCGAGUCCCCUAAAGUAACACAAACUCAUCAUCAUAGUCAAUAUAUCAUCAGCGUAUCAUAAAUAUUCUCAUCAUGUUCAUUGAUUAAAGUAGAGCGCUAGCAUAAAGCUAACCACAAUAACCUAAAAGGUAAUCAAGGACAAGGUAAAUAGAAAGCUAGUCAAUCCUUAGGUUUUAAUUAUGUAAUACGGGGAAAUGAAUUAUGAGGUGAAUAGGACAUAAGUGGGUCAGAGGACACUUGCCUUCACCAAACAGAUCCAGGGCCGUCUCUUAGUUUUUUAGGUCUUGGUGCAAAACAUAAAAAUAGGUCCAAAGAUCUAUAGUAUAUAGAGAUAAGAACAAUAUAAAAUGUAUCGUUUCAUAUUUGAUCUAUUCUCAUAUUCUUGUCCUCUCAUAUUGUCAAUUUUAAAGUCGAUAUUUUAUAAAUAAUAAACAAUCUUCAUCUUUUUAUACCAUUUAUAUAUUUUCAGAAAAUUCAAAAAUUUGGAGCCUAAAAAAUUGGAGGCCCUGUGCCAGCGCUCCAACUGCGCUGGGCACUCGACGGCGCUGUCCAUACCUGUACACCAGGAGAUAGCAGAAUUGAUGGGUCGGGAUUAUACCUGGCAACCUUCGCUCGGAUUCGCCAGACAUCAGGUCUUCGAGCACAAUGAGAGGCGGUCUCAAUCCUAGAGCAUGUUCCAAAACUUCAACUUUAUAGAUGAGAGAUGCGCCUCCACGGCUAUUACAAUAAAUUCUUGUCGCUAUAAGUCCCAACCGUGCUUUAAAAUAUUGGAGACUUUCUCUCUAUCUUAUUAUUUGUCAUGUCUGGCAAUAUUUAAUUUUGUUCUAAAUGACCUCGAUAAUUCUUAAGGUCUAGUUUGGGUACUAUAGUAUUAAACUCAAUCCACUUGUAUUGAGAUGAAUUGGAGUGUAACUUAAACUAAUUUACACCCCAAUCCACAUCAAAACACGUGGAUUGUGGUCAAUAAUAGAGUACCCAAACAAAGUCUAAACAACAUGUAAAUACUCUUCCUUGCGGGUUUUACUACGAAGCGUUUAGGAGUCUUUCACUUGAAGUAGAGGCUCAAUAUAGGUUUAACUAAUCCUUCCGUUCGUUUCAUCGAUUUGUUAUGUUCUUACUUCAAUCGAAGUUGUUUGCAACAGCGUGGGCAUGCUAGCUCUCAUUGAAACGUGACCACAAAUCAACAUUAACAUUAUGGAAUGGGAUUACAGAUAUACACUAGCAUAAUGAAUAAGUUCCAAGAUUGUGAGGCGUCGGUCUAAUAAUAAUUACAUCGGUUGGUUUUGUGAUGAUCCAAAGAAGAAAGAAAAUACAAACCAGCGGAUUAUAUAUUCGGUGGAGACUUGAGAGUACGUGAGAAAGAGAGAGGUUACGAAGAGUGAUUAUAUCUCUACUACUAAUUAUGUAUGUAGUGUAGGCGUCCACAUGUGGAUUGGUGCACGGUUCUGCCGAUCUGUUCGACGCACGCACCCACAUGGAAACAGGCAGCAGACAUCCUUCCCCGCCGCCCCGGAUGUCGCCCCUCGCGGAUCUCGCGCCAGCCCCCGCCUGCCCUUCCACUCAUCCCCCGCCGCUCCGCCGCGGAUCUCGCCCCCCCGCGGAUCUCGCGCUCGCCACAACAGCUAAUCUCGACCAUGCCCCACAAUCUCAGCCAGCCCUGCUGUACCCCCGCCUGCCUGUGCACCCUCCCACGCGCGAUGGAAGCAGUCCGACAUGCCCCUCCCACCACAACCGCGCAGCACCGUCCUGGGCACGGCGCCCCGCACGGGGCGCUCCUCGGCCCGCAUCUGCUUGCGGAGAUUGGCCUCGACGAAGAGGGGCUCGGCGGAGGCCGCGGAGGGGAGCGGCGAGAAGGAGAUGAGAAGCGCGUGGGAGGAGGAGAAGAAGAUCGACGCGGAGAUGAGGAGCAGGAGAAGCAGCAGGCGAAGACGAGCACCACGAGCUCGCUCCCCUCCAGCAACGAGCGCUCCUCCAGCUCCGCUUGCAACAACCUCACGAAAGGAGGUAGGUGCCGCGCCCAACCCGUUGCUGGUUAAUCAGCUGAAGUUGCUGCUGCCCUGCCCCGCAUGGCACCCGAGGGGCGGAGAGCGACGAGGAGAUACGGCGGGUGCCGGAGAUGGGCGGCGCGUCGGCAUCGGCCUCGUCGGGCGCCGGCGCGGACGAGCUUCCCAAGGGGGAGGACGACAAGCAGGGGCAGGUGGCCGCGCCCAACCCGUUGCUGGUUAAUCAAACUGUUGCUUGCUUUGCACCUACUUUGAUUUAUCAGAAAAAAUUUGAAUGUUUAUUACAUUCCCAUUGGACAUUUGUUACUGUUUGGUUGCGACUUUGCUUAGCAAUUUUCCUCAGGAAUCUUGUGUUUCCUAUGCGUUAUGGUCCUAGACUUAUGACUAUUCUAAUUUAUUUAGGCUGAUUGGAAGAAGUGCAUUUCUCAAAUUUAUUCUAGAAACUGGGUCUGAGUGAGUUCUAUAAUUUGCAUUCACGCCAAUCAAAUUUUAGCAUGGUAUCGGCGAGAUAUUUUGUAUUGUUAGGGCACAAUGAUCUGUUAGGUGUCUUUCUAGGAUUAAUGAUGGUUCUCUUCAUCUCGGGUGAUGGUCUUGGAGUAUUUUGAUCAGUACAGCGAGCUCGCAUUGCUCCUAUCUCAAUUUAUAUGAUUUAGAUGGGUGAAACGACAUUUGGUUUAGUAAUUUGAAUUCAAGCCUUCAUAUCAUUGUUGUGUCUUAUGCUCCCAUUUCAAGUCACAUUGUUGCUUACUUUGCACUUACAUUGAUUUAUUGGGUCAAAGUUGAAUGUUUAUUGCAUUCUCAUUGGACAUUUGAAGGUCUAGCGAUUUUUCUAAGGAAUCUCGAGUUUUACCAUGCUUUAUGGUCCCAGACUUCUUGCUAUUCACAUUUAUUUUAGGCUGAUUGGAACAGGCACAUUUCUCAUUUGAUGGUUCUUUCAAUUCAGCUAAAUUUCUCGUUCCACAUUAGCACAUUGCUUAUUUGAUGAUUCUUUCAGUUCAGUUCACUUUCUUGAUCCGCGUCCACAUUUUCACUAUUUAUUGUUGUACAAUUAGUUCUUACAUUGUAUUUGAUUUGGUGUUGUUACUUUUGGAUGACUUCCCUUAAUGGUGAUUCAGACAUAUCUAGCAUAAUAAUGUCAUAUUUCAGUUAGCUUUAUACGGUGGAUCAGGAGUUCAAAUCUCAGCUCUGAAGUAUUAGUAGAGCCAUCUGCCCUGCAUAGAUUGGAUACCCCCUCCUAGCAGAUUUUUUUCUUGCAUUUUAUGAGUCACCUUUUUUCCCCAUAUAUAUGGAAUCGCCGACAAGUAUGAUCACUGACCAGAAUUGUUGAAACAAGAAAGAAUAUGCCUAUUCACUUUGUCUUGAACGUCCAACCAAACUGAAAUCGUGGAGGCUGAGUGAACUGUGAAGGAUGCUUUAAAGAAUUUCAAGGUUACAAUGCUUACUUAAAGUGCCUUACUAGAUCCAAACUGGAUUUGUUUGACAUGAGAACUUAUUUCAACAUGAUGAUUGCACUUGUACAUUUAGUGUUUCAAUUGGAGCUCUCAAAUCUCUUUUCUUGUGCCAGGUUAUAGAUGUUAGUGGUAAAGAAUUCAAAUUCACCUGGGCAUCUGAACGAGGCGAAUUGUGUGACAUUUAUGAAGAACGUCGGAGUGGAGAGGAUGGAAAUGGGUUGCUUCUGGAGUGUGGCUCUGCUUGGCGCAAGGUGAAUGUGCAACGCAUUUUGGAUGAAUCAACAAAGAACCUUGUGAAAAUGCGCUCAAAGGAGGCUGAACGUCUCUCAAAAUCUCGAAAGUUUGUCUGCUUUCCCUGUUCUAUAAUCCUCUUGGUUUCUAUUGAUUUAUGAUAAUCCUGAUAUGCAGAAUCUCUAUUUUCAUGUUUUAUGAUAUUGUAGUUUUUUCCCAACCGCUUAUAUAUCCUCUUAACUUUUCCGGUUGUAGAUCAAUCGUGCUGGACCCUGCCAAUCCAUCUGUCAAGAGUCAGGCCAGGUCAAUGGCUGCAGCAGCUGUAGAAGGUCUUUUCAUCGCAGAGUUCAUGUCAUUUAGUGCUUUUCAUCGCAGAGUUCAUGUCGCACAAGACCUUGACAAAGCAUAUCUUUCAGUGUUUGUUUGGUUUCGCCUUCAUUACUCUUCUCUUACAUUAGUUGCUACUAUAAUCUUCUCUUACAUCAUCUGCAACUAGCACAUUUGGGUUUGUUAGAGUUGAUUUUGAGAUUUGUGUGUCAUCGUAAUGCAUGGGCAUUGUACGAUGCAAUACUUUUUAUUUGAACAAAUAUGUAUAAUACAACAAAAGAAUCCUAUAUGUAUAAUACAACAAAAGAAUCCUAAUAAAGUUUAACAAAGUCUUUUUUUUGUUUGAACUGAUUCUGUGUAGCAUCAGUAUGUCACCAUGUAUAUAUAAUUAUCUUUUAAUGAUAUGUUUAUUAAUCGAUCUAUUGUCGUACAUUAAUGAUGAUUUUUACUACUUGAUUCUUCCAAUUCAUGGGCUAUAGAUUUAUGUGUUUCAAACAAUCCUCUAUUUUGACAUUCCAUUCACUAAACAUAUUAUAUUCCUUUUUCCCCCAGGAGCGAGCCGCUUUGGCUGCUACCUCAUAUCCUCAUCGUUAUGUUGAGAAGAGAAAACCAAUUCUUGAUCCAUAGGUACCUACACUGACAACUAUAUGUUAGAUGCCAUAUGACGAUUUGUUUGACAAAUAGGUUGUUGUAUAAGUUAUUUAUGUGUGCUAAUUUGGCCUUAUUUAUGGGAAGAAAAGGGAGCCUAUAAAAUUUGAAGAUUAGCUCCUUGGCCACAUCUUGUACCAAAUUGUGCACCACCCAUUCUAGAUGCAACAAUACAAGGAAUGCUUUCUCCGUAUCUACUAGCUACGUGAUGAUAAACAUUUCAUGAAACUGUUGUUGCUUUAUGAGCAAAAAACAACUAUAAAUGCUUUCUAUGGAUCGACUCGCCUCGCUCUAGAAGGUUUGUUUUUUGGCUCUGCUUUGCAUUUUGCACACACAACUCGAUCGUCAUUUCCAUUGUUCCAUCACCUCAUUCGCUUCGAAGAGUGGUGGGAUUGUACUAUGUGACAUUUGUAGUGAGUUGUGGUUGUGAACUUAUGAUUUGUAUUCAACUCAUGUUAUCAGUGGAAUUCUGGUAUGAGUACUACUUGUGAAAAGUAAACUGAAUUCUGGUUGUGAACUACUUGUUUAAGUGAAUGUGUGUUUCUGUUUUUUGUUGUCAGUGCAUUUCUGUUUUCACUGAUGAAACCACCAUUUCUGUUUUCAAUGAAUCUGUUGAACUGAACUGCAAAAAUAGAAAUUGUUCUAUUUUGUUUGAGUGCACAAACAGAACUCAACGGAACUAGAUCUGAAUAUGUUUGAGUGCACAAACAGAAAUUGUUUUGUUCUGGUUUUAGUGAACUCCACAAAUAGAAUUGAAUCUAUUAUGUUUGAGUGUAGAAACAGAUACUGAAAUGCUACAUCUAGCACUUAAUCUGGCAGAAUCAGAAAAUUGGGGAAAUACAAGCUGUUUAAGAGCACAAACAAAAGCUGAAUCUGUUUGAUUGCAGAAACCGAUAAAAACAGAAAUAUAUGCUGAAAAUAAUUCAUAAGUAGGCAGUGGUGGUGCUAUGGUGCAUACCAGGUUCUUAUUCAAAUGAUUUGCUAAAGUCAAAUAUAUGCUUCCGGUCUGAUUGAUUUGUGAAACUGAAAUGGAUAUUUUAUUUCGGCACUAUGAAAUAAACUCACUGUGAUCCUGAAACAUAUCAAUUGUGUUUGUUUUUGUAAAUCUUUUAUACUACUAGGGGAGAAAAAUAGCUUAGUUCAAUCGCAUCUCAUAUGUCUAAUUACCAGGGGAGAAAAUUAGCUUAGUUCAUUUUGUUGCUGCCAUAUGGGUGAAAAAAUAAUGAGACAUCUAAAUCAGUAAAUUGGAAAUAUAGCAUCUUAAACCUGCAGGUAGUUUCUUAAACCUGAUUCUAGCUACAUGUUUUAUAUUGUGACACAAGAACUUUUAAGAACAUAUGUUGAUGCCCACUGUAUUUAGUUACUACUUCAAGACCAACUGUAUUUUAGUUACAAAUGUGUUUUCAAGAUUGUAGAAAUUUGUAGCUGAAAUUAUCCACACCAUAUUUGUGAACUGACAUCAUUUCUAAGAAUAUUACUGAUUAGAAUCUUUCACUUUUAUAAUGCUUUGCAGGAGUGGCCCCUCUGGAGUUGAAUAUGCAGUUAUAACCAAUUUUUACCCCUUUUAUCCUAGAAGAGUUGCCAAGACACGGUAUAAGACCAUGAUAAUAGACUAAGAGAGGAUUUGGCUCUAAUUACUAUAUGUUUUAUUUAUGCAGUCCCAUGAGAACUUUGAGUAUUUACAGAUUGCUUUAUUAAUUUAUUAAAGUUAAAGAUUGUAUGUGUUGAGUAUGUAUCCACUCUUGUUGGAAGUGUCUUGCAAUUCCAAUCCAAGGAUGUAUAAAAGACUUCAUGGGUUAAGUAUGUGUUUUUCAUGUAUUUGGAGUAUAUAUACUUUUUAUUGCUUGAGAACAUGUAUGUGCACUAGAAGCUUGUCAAUUGUGUGAACUUGAGUUGAUCCCUGUCUAACCUGAGUAUAUAUAUAUAUUUUGUUGCUUGAGAACAAGUAUGUACAAUAGAGGCCUGGCAAUUGUGUGAACUUGAGUUGAACAUGAAUUUUGAUAAUCACAACUCACCAUCCCUUUCAAUAUGCUUAGAAUAUAGCUUUUUAUAAUUUUUCACCCUACAAUACAAAAUUGUUCUAUGAAGGCCAUGGUACAUCAUCAUAUCCUAUAUUAUCAACCUAGGAUUUGUCUAUUUCGAUUAAUAAUGGCAUUGAGUCAAAUUUUGGUUGUUUCAAAUGAUAGACUUCGACAUUUGUUAUGAUUUAUGAGUUGAUUCUUGAUAGCAUUACUAAAAAAUGACCUGUGUAUACACAAGUGUUUUCCGUUGCAAUGCACGGGCAUAUACCUAGUAUAUAAUAUAUGCAUGUUAGUCAAUUGGUUCAGAUGCAGGCGAGCUCCUUUGCCAAGCCGAUGGACUUGCCGAUGGCGUUCUUGCAGACGGCCAUGGUCUUGUUGCCGGAUCCAUUGUACUUGAUGUCGACGUUGACGAGCUGCACGCCCUGGCAUGGCAGGUUGUUGGCGCAGUUGAGCGUGAUGGCCUCCGGCGUGUUGGAGGUGCCGUGGAUGUUCUUGAAGACGACGUCGUUGACGGCCACCUUGGAGGCGCCGGACUUGACGCAGAUGUUGUUGGGGCAGUACUUCUGGUCGAUGAUGAUGGGGUAGGAGACAUUGUCCAUGGUGAUGCCCUCGUACAGGAACUUGCUGGCCUUGAGCGACGACUUGGAGUCCUCGUACGACUUGAUGCGCAGGCCGUUCGUGGUGCCGGCGAUCGUGCACCCCGUCACCUGCACGUCUUCCACGUCCUUCUCGUCCUUGUAGCGCCCCAGGCUGCCGACGCUGAUGCCGUGGCCUGGGCCGCACUUGACGCCAUGGAUGCGGAUCAUCUUGCUCCCGGGGCCGAUGGAGAUGCAGUCGUCGCCGACGCCGAUGGUGGUGCUGCUGAUGGUCACGUUGCUGGAGUCGCCGAUGUGGAUGCCGUCCGUGUUGGGGCUGUCGCCGGGGGCCUUGACCGUCACUUUGUCGAUCAGCACGUUCUUGCACUCGAAGAUGUUGAGGUGGAAGAACUUGCUGUUGAGCAGCGUGAUGCCGCGGAUCUGGACGUUCGUCACAAAAUCCAGCACCAAGCUCUGUAUAUCCAUCGCAAUGGCAUUGCAUGCAUGCAAUUUCAAUCAAUUAUCAAUAUUAUCGAGAAGAGGAGACAGAGACAAAGAAAACAAGUGUCUAUACGUACAUUCGGGAGGAUCUUGCAAUUGUAAGAAUGCUGGCACUGGUUCUUGCUCCACACCAGGGCUCCCUGCCCGUCGAUGGUGCCGUGGCCGU
rnacentral:lncRNA from 1 species